rnacentral:lncRNA from 1 species
AUUCAUCAGCGAAGGUGGCGGCGGCGGUGGGCAGGAGAGGAAGUAUUGCGCUAUUUUUGCUGGGUUUUUUUUUGGCUGGGGGAGGAAAUAAACAUUGUUGCUGUACUUGUUGGUUGUUGAAUGUUGAGCUGUUGUUUGGUAGCAUUAGCAUAGCGAUUUACUGUAGUUGGAGACAUGUCAUUCAUCCGGUCACAUGGCCCUAGUUCUUUCUUGCCGCAGCGCUCUGUUUCUGAUGAAUCUCUGGGUGGUGGUGUUGUCGUUGUAGCAGCAGAGUUGUCUGCAGAUGAUGCAGUACAAGCGUUUGGUACGACGAUGCCUUGCCUAAUCCUCUGGUAACCCUCUUGCGCACAUGAUCGCCGGCGACGCAUGGAUUCGUCAGUGUUUUCCUUCCAUGGCGUCCCGGUGUUAAAGGGCCCGGGAGAAGAGUGCGAUGACGGCGAUCUCACCAUCUCAGGGCCAACACCUUACAGCUGGCCAUGAUCUGAUCAAAGGAGCUAAGCUAGCUUCGCGGAACUAUUCUGUGCGGCGCAAGUAUCGAUCGAUCCAUGGAUGGGAACGUCGAUUAACAUCUUUUCAGCACAUGUUGUUGGGAGUGAUUGAUCACUCUGUUCCCGUCCCGUUUCUUCCGAAAGAUGAUGGCCUACUCUGUGCCUAACUCGAUAAGCCCUGCUCUGUUCAGCUCAGCUCAUCAUUCCCUGAUGAAGAUCAGGCGCCGCAUGAUGGGAAGAACAGCGCACUACGCCAUUACAGCACGCAUGCGAUGCGCCAACUCUCAAAUCCAAUCCAAACCAAACCUAACCAUGCAAUGCAAGCAAAGCGCGAGAGAAAUCAGUGGCGUUGAUUGCAUGGGGGGCUACACCAAUUGCAGCCUGCAGUGCAGCUGCAGGGUGUUUUUUUUUUAACAUAACCUGCUGCAGGGUGUGUGACCCAAGGGAAAAGGCGGCAGGCAGGCAGCCCGCUAGUUGGAAAGGAAAGGGUAACCGCCGAGAGGACGCCGGCCGGCAGGGGCUCCGCGCGGUAGGUGGCGGUCGACCGGGAUAUGAUUGAGCUCUUUUCCGCUGGAGCAAUGGAGCAUCGCUGCGCUCCUGCCGUGCCUAGAUGAGUCACGGGCAGAGCGAGGUCGGGCCAGUGAGAGCAGCCGCCGCCACCGGCAACCCAUGGUGCGUUCGGUUCCUAGCCUGCGAAACCGAGAACCCCAGCGCCGCGCGCAGGGCACAUGGCUGGCACAGUUGCCGGCGGGAAAAUGUCUGCGUGCGGACGGGGAAAUUACCGCGUGUCUGUGCCUCUAUGCGUGCGUAUGGGUGCACAUGCCGCCCGCCGCUGCGCGUGUCGGCGUCGUCGUCUUCGCCGUCGGUCUUCGGGGCCGGGGCGACGGCUGGUGGGGCCGAGCCUGAACCGGUGAACCCUCCUGUCUCUCUGUCUGGAUGCUGCGCGGUGCGCCGUGCGCGCCAGCCUUGCACAAACCUUGGUCUGGUCUGUGGUCUGGCCGGUGCGGCAGUCUUGACAGGUUGCAUUCAUGGCCGACGGCGUACAGGUAGCUCCCUCUCCCCAAAUGUUAUCUGAUAGGGAUUUGAGCGAUUUUUGUAUUUUCUGUAUGAUUAAUCCCACAGAUACUAGGAAUACGAGGCCAUGUACAUUACAGAUGCAGUACAUGCUGGAUAUUUCUAGAUGAAGAAAGUUUUAUUUCGACAUGGAAAAUAUCGUUCUGCAGCAUGAUCGGAUAAUUUGUUCGUUUCGGAGCCUCUGAAAGUUCAGAAACGUGGGUGAGAGUGGCCGAAGGAAAUUUGGCAAAAUAUACGUUUUGGUAUGCUCCGAGGGUCGAUUUAGUCCCUUAAUUUUUAAAUUGGUCAAUCUAAUCCUUCAACUUUUAUUUCUAGGUCAAACUCAUCCUUAUAGUGAUAUAAUACUCCGUAUUUGCAUAAGAUUAAUGCGAAAAGUUCUUUUUGCCCUUAGCUCCUUCUCCCCUUUCUCAAUUUCCGUUGUCACCAUUUGCGCUAUACAAGGUUAUGAUGCCACAAUCUAAUCGAGCGAACCUAGAUAGCCAUCCUAGCUCUCAUCCCCUUUAUCUGCUUGUAGCACCACUGAGCAGGCGAGGUAUAAGUGGAACAGCUGCCAUCUCAUUUCUCUUCGAUUUGAGCUUCAUAUCAACCAGUUUCCUUUACCCUUUCUGCGUCAGCAAAGCAAGCAAUAAACAAAUACAAAGCACAAGCACCAAUCGUCAAACAAGGCAGCAGCAGCUGCUCGCGGUCCAAUUUCUCUCCUCAAGUAAGCCACCAGCAACAACAUGUCCUUUUUAAAGACCCAGACAAAUCAGCAGUUUACAAUCCUUGCUCAUAGUCAAUUUGCCACACCAGUCCCUCUCUACCUCCAUUGAUACUAUGGCGAGCUUCACAGUACCGCAAGAAUACUCACAAUCCAUCAUAGUGCUGACAGAAAUUUGGGGGGGCAAGGGUAAAAGUGACUUUUCACAUUAGUAUGGAGCACCAUAUGAGUAUUUGGACGAGUUUGAUCAAAAACUAAAGUUGAGGAACUAGAUUGGCCAACCUGAUAGUUAAAGGAUGAACUUGACUCUCAGACUAAAGUUAAAGGAUCAAAUCAUCUAUUUUGCCUAAAAAUUUACAAGUGACUUCACAAAUUUGUCCCCCCUUUUUUGUUCUUCUGAGUUUCCAACUUUAGCGAGCAGGAUGUGGUGGCUUGGGCUGGGCUGGUUUUAGUCUGCACCCAAUAAAAAUGCAAAUGCCUCUCGGCCUCAAAACAAUUUCGUGCGGAAGCAGGCCAAUUUACGCUACCUGCAAAACCCCCAAAAGGGCGCAUAUUUAAAGCAGAUCCAGCCAGCUCAGCAAUGAAUGAGCAGCCCUCUUCCUCCCUUUUCUUUUGGGUUGGCCUCAAAACAAUUUCGUGCGGAUCCAGGCCAAUUUACGCUACCUGCAAUACCCAAACGGGUGCAUACUUAAAACAGAUCCAGCCCAGUGCCCUCUUCCUCGCUUUUUUCGGUCGCCGAACAAACUUGGGCCGUCACAUUUUUAACCAAACGGAGGCCCAACACCAGACGAUCCCGUCCAACCCAAUCCCACCGUCCGGCCGCAACUGCCCGCAUCCUAGCCGUCCAUCCGACCAGUCUCUCCUCGCUAGGGUUUUAGCCCGUAUAAGAGCCCCCUCGCCACCCCCGAACCCCCGCCUCCGCCGCCUCGCGCUUCGCCCUCUCGCUUACUCCCCUCCCGGCGUGCUCCCGAUCCGAAGGUGCGCCGCCUCGCCGGCGAAAAUUUCCCCGCUGGUUUUCCUAUUCCUUUGCUCGUCGACCUCGCCUCACGUUUGCCUGUUUGUCUGAUGUUUGUUUUGUCGGUGGUCGAUGAUGGAGCAGAGAUGGCGGUGCCGCUGCUGACGAAGAAGAUCGUGAAGAAGCGGGUCAAGCAGUUCAAGAGGCCCCAUCUCGACCGCUACAAGUGCCUCAAGGUGCGAAGCUUUUAACCUCCUUUGAUCGUUCGCUGAAAUGGAAUCUCUUGCCUUGUGCUUCGUUCUUGGCAACCGGAUCUGUGUGCUUGGUUGAGUUUCCUCUGUAGAAGCUUACUGGUUCGUCAGCUCCUGAUGGAUGGAUGCGUUCCUUAUCACAUGGAUGUGUUGUUUUAUCAAUACGUGCGCUUGUUUAAUUGUACCUAGAUCCACCCCGAUUCUAGUAGCUCUGGUUGAUCUAAAAAAAGUAGCUCUGGUUAAGCAGCUUACAAAACAGCAUGAUGAUUCCCUUUGAUUUUUAGAAGUCAGUGGUAGAGUGCUCUAAACAGUAGCAUUUUGAGCCGGUUGGAAGUUUGAAUCUGCCACACAGGGGUCUGUUUGUUUGGUUUAGGAAGUGUAUUUGGGCUCCCACAGGUGUUCAUAUUGCAUCAUGGAUACUGUCCUGAGCACAUUGUUUUCCCCGUGUGCAAUCAAAUUUUACACAUUUGCUCGAUACCAUGUACAAGAAUAGUUAGUAUCCACUUGCAUUUUGGGGUGGCAAUAGAUAGUGAACGUGUUAUUUAUCUCUUAUCCUGAUAAUUUUUGUGCCAUUCAAUGCUGCUGUGCUCAUUGACCUGUGCAGUGAACUCCUCUUCUGAAAGUCUUAUCAUUUGAUUACAAGUUUCAAUAGCUGGAUUGAAAUAUUUUGUGGUUUUCAUUUGAGGUGAGGGUGGUUUAGAGAGCACCAAAUUGAUCUUUCACUGAAUAUAUGAUUACUGUUGUCACAUUGGAGAUUGAAAAAUAGGGAUUCCUUUCAUUGGCUCUGUAUAACCAUUUGUUCUGUCCAUUUAGCUCACUUCAAAUUUUGUAUAUUAAUCUCCUGGAAAUAGUGGGUCAAGUGUUGUCAUGAAUGAACCUGUUUAAUUCGUUAGCAAUUUUGAUUAUGGCAUGGGCCUGAGUUUGUAUAACUUCCUGACUCUAGUCUAGCUCAAAUUUAACUUCAUGUUUAACUUGAUUUCUUACUAUUUGGCUGGCUGUGUUACUAGCUUAUUACUUCACCUGGGAGUGGGGUUAUUGAUGUGUUACUGUAUCUGAGUGUUACACGCAGAUCUCUGUCUAGUGUGAUUUCUUUACCUCGUAUCUUUGUAUUAAUCUCUACCUGCUAAUCGUACUGUAUCUUUUGCAAGGCUAAUUUCCCAUCAUUUAUUGUGCAGCCAAGCUGGCGCAGGCCAAAGGGUAUUGACUCCCGUGUUAGGAGGAAGUUCAAGGGAUGCACCUUGAUGCCCAACAUUGGUUACGGCUCAGACAAGUCCACCAGGCACUACCUCCCCAACAAAUUCAAGAAGUUUGUGGUGCACAAUGUCUCUGAGCUGGAGUUGCUCAUGAUGCACAACAGGUAUGAAUUUACCAAAGCUGACUGUAGAAGUUAACAUGUGUUCUCAUUCCGACCUGUUUGCCUGUAUGAUCAAAAGCUGUUUGUAGUUCCUUUUACUGAUGCAAUGCCCUUCCCUUAUGCAGGACCUACUGCGCUGAGAUUGCCCACAACGUCUCAACAAGGAAGCGCAAGGAGAUUGUUGAGCGCGCUGCUCAGCUCGACAUCGUGGUCACCAACAAGCUCGCCAGGAUCCGCAGCCAGGAGGACGAGUAGGCUGGGUUACUCGUCAGUACGACUGCUGGCUCUAGUCUUUCCCUGCUGUAGGAAACUCUGCUUUGUGUCGGUGUUACUACCGAGGUUACCUGUUAUGCCAACCUUUUUGCUAUCAAGUAGCGGCUCUAAUGUGGCAAAUUCUACCGUUACCUUCCUAUCUGAAUUAUCUGCAUGUUUUUUGGACCUGUCUUUUGCAUGCAGUUGCUGAUAUACCUGUCAUCUAGAUUGUAGAAUCUAGUUAUGGCAGUUUACAUGUGGAAUAUGUGUUCUCAGAGCAUCUCCAAGAGUGACCAACCACUUUUGGGAUCAAAAGUGAAAAAUAGUGCUCCAACAGUUGUCCAACCUCAUACCCAAAAUUUCCGCGUGCCCAAAACCAGAUCUAUCCUGAGCACCAAGGCACCAAUCGCCACCGUUUCUUCCGGUCUCUCUCAACUUCUCUCCCGCCGGCAUCCCCCUCGUGCCAAUUUCCCUUUGCAAGGGCCGCGCGUGCCUCACUGCUCCACGAGUGAAUCUCGUCAAACAAUGUGCCACUUUUGGUUGUUCUUCAACGUGAGGUCAUCCAAGUAGAUAGCUGGAAAUAAUUUUAGCAAAUAAGCAAUGGCUAGCUUCUUUUUUCUGGAUUGGAUCAUAUCGAUCCAACUGGUACUUGAAUUUCGCUUUGAUCUCGCGUGCCUGUUCCACUGCUGCCACGGUGCCACCUGCCCGUGCACUCGUGUCUGCCACGCCUAGUUGCGCCGCCCACACAGCAUCACUACCCUGAACUAUGAGUAACCCUUUGAUUCUUAAACCAGCUUACUAUUCACCAUAUUGUAUCCCGGUUUUGCUGACUAGGAUGCCGGUUUGCUGUUUAAUGGCGACACGUGGACCAUCCAACGUGGCAAUAAAAAAAUGAAGUGCACAUAACCCCCUCCGAUUCAGCCCGACUCAGGUGUGCUUGGUCUUCUAUCCUCGAGAUAUUGGCCACCUCCGACCCUCCGUCAUCGCCGAGCACCUCGCCGCCGCCCACUGCGCCGCCAUGGCGGCUCGGAUGUCAUCGUCCAACACUACCAAGUGCAGCGCGUCGUCUCCGCUCAUACGUUGGAGCCAUGCACCACGCCUGGAUGUUGUGCCGUGCUCGCCUGCCUGGGCCUUCGCUUCCGCUAUCGUGGUGUGGUGCCGACGGGUAGCCGCCGGCGAGAGGCCCGGCCGUGGCUGCAGCUCAACCAGGGGCCACAACAUCAUGGGGACAAGCAGGAGGGACCAGCUGAUCCAGGAGGAAGAGCAGCCGCAUCUCGCACCAUCCAGGAGGAAGAGCAGCCACAUCGCUGAAUCUUUUGGAUGGAGAACGGCAGCGGCAGCAAGUUCAGAAGCAAAUUGACAGAACCCAAUGCAUAUCACUUGAGAACUCGCUACAUAAAAAAAAACAAUUAAGUUCACCACAUGCCAUUGGUAAAGCUUGCAUCCUCCAUCCUAACCAAAAUCCAUAGAGCGCACAACAACAGAUCAAAAUCGAACCACAAAUAGAGCCAAAUAAUAGCCGAAUUGACCAAAUUCAGUGCUUACCAAGGCCCUUGGGCAUGUGUAGUACCUCGACCACGCCGCACGGCCAUGGGAUCCCGCGCGAUGAGCAGGGCCGGCGGACGGGACGGAGCAGGGGCGCCAGCGGACUGGAUCGAAUAGGGGAGCGCUGGCAGGCGGGGCCGAGCAGGGCGGGCGCCAUCAGACAUGAACCAGCAGGGGAGCGCCGGCGGACUGGAUCGAGCAGGGUGAGCGCCGGUGGCCGGGGCCUAGCAACGGGCGCCAUGGAACAGGAACGAGCAGGGGAGCGCCGGCGGGGCCGAGCAGGGGCGAUGCGUUGGUUCGAGCCCUUGCCUGAUGGCGGCAGGAGCUCAAGUGGGCUCGAUUCGUUUUGCCACGUUGGACUGCCCAUGUGGAGUCAUUAGUCAGCAAAACAGCCAUCCAGUCAGCGAAACCGGUUUUGAUUACUGACUAAAGGUGAAUAGUGAUCUGGUUUAGCACCCCGACCUUCCUGCAGUUGCAAUCAAUGCAUAUAAAUGAGAGGAAGGUUACCCCUUCCCUUCUGCCCGGUCAGGACUGAACUGGAGCUCCCAUCCAUGAUGGUGCCUGAGCUCAAAGUAGAAAUGGAAAAUUGAAAGCUCAUUGCACAAGACCGGCGAUUAAUCGGGCUGCGAUGGCGCCAUCGGGAUCUGGUGCGUGGGGGCUACGGUUCCAACUAUGAUGUUGGCAAUCGCAAAAAAGGGAUUUGGGAUAUAAUAAUUUUAGUGUUAGGAUCUUAUCUAUAGCAAUAUAGCAUUAUAUACUCAAAGGGGUAUUUGCAAGAAGUCAAAUGAAGAAUGGUGGCAAAACUCCUACCUUCGGGCAUGUGGGGCCCAUUGUGCCACGCCACGUCCGUAGUCGUAUAUGGUCCAAACUUGUUUGGAUGUGUUUUGACAUAUAGGCCUAGUUGCUGUAGCUAUGUGUGCAUUUUGAGAGUUGAGAGAUCUGAAUGACACUCGUUGCCAUGUUAGCAGAGUGACAGUGCACUUUACUCGUAAGAGACUAAUACAAGGGCUUCCUGAUUUCCACUCUCGAUCCUAGACAACCAAGUGCUCACCCACAAAUCUUAAAUUUUGCUGAGUACAACAUGAGAAACUCAAUUGAUAAUAGUGUAGUUUAGUAAAUAGGUAUUGCAAUUCUACAAUUGUCAACAUCCAUAUUGAGACCUUUAGGCUGUUAAAAAAACAUUCUUAUCUGUAACCAAACAUCAGGAAUUUCAAAUUUUAGACCUGAUGAUACUGGCUGUACAAAAUGUAGCAAUUGGAAUCUCACAUGUGAAAUGUAAUCUAAACUACCACACAGAAAUGGACUAAAUCAAGGUCUAGCAAGCUCCUGAAACAAAAUUCAACAAUUUAUAUGUUUGAGAAAUCAAAGAUGGUUUUGAGAAUACUUGAAUGCUGAAAUGCAUCCCGCAUGAUAUCCUCAUGCUAUUAGAUACCAAAGAGGCAUAAGCUUGGAUGGCAAAUACCAGGCAGAGUAACUGUCAUGCGUUAAUUUUGCGAAAAACCCCCCUGCAAAAAUAGAUAUAACAAGUGAGUUUCGUGUGUCAGUUUUACUGUCCAUGUGUAGUUUUACGUCUCUGUGCACAGGACGCGUCAUGACAAUGCAAGAUUACCCAGGACUACGAGAGAUUCAGCCGGCCGGUACCACCAUCUCAUAUAUGUGCUGGAUCUCCAGGUGAUAAUCUAUAUUAUCUUAGCUUAUAUUAUGCUUUACCAGGUAUUAGUUUCACAGAGCUAAUUGUGCUACUCUGAGUUGCAGGGAAAAAGAGAGAUGCCAAAUGCAAUGGCAUGGACCUUGCCCUUAUGCCCUCCCUCCCGGGUACCGGCUGCCGGUGCUUUAAAGAAGCCCAUGAACUUGAGUAGUAAGUUAAAAAUGACAGGAAGGCGGUCCUCCUGGGGCAGAUCGACCUGCCCGUCAUUGAUCAAUCAUGGCGGGUUUUCUUAUAUGGGCACGUUGAGCUCGACAACGUGAUACCCGCAGCGGACGAACUCCCUAGAUAGGAACAUUGUGCUACUUUGGAUGUAGCGUAAUAAUGUUACACGUGGCCGGCAUGGACGCAUCAAAGUCUAGCUACAUGCCGGUCAGGUGUCGACGCCGUCGCAUUUGUUGCGCGGUUAGUUUAGUUUCCGCAUACGUGCAUGUGAAGAGUGGGGGACACGAGACGAUGCGUGGGUUCGCGCGAUCACCAUCCACCGCGCGGCACGUUGGCUCCGGCCUCCUGUCGCUGAGAUCACCGUCCAGUCACGUCCCUCCGAUCCGGUGCCUCCCACCGCGCUGGUGCAAGCAUACCUGCUACCAAAUGCACACGACGUCACGACGGCAGCGUCUGUUAUCGAUCCCAGGCGAUGCAUGGCUCCAAACUUCCCAACUCCCACCACCUCCCAGGCCAAGCAGAGGCGCCGGACACGGUACACAGGCACACAGCGCUAGCUGCAAACGGAAGAAAAUUAGACGCAGGACUCCUGCAACCGAGUCCUGGUGCAGGACGGCCUCAGAUCACGACGCGUGGGCAGCCUUCCCGAUCGAACGCCCGCGCGAGGAGACGAGCCAGCGCUGAAGAAGAAAAAAAUAGAUGAGCCAGGAACGAGCCAGCAAGACGAGCCACCACGCUGAAGGAAAGCCACGAAGACGAGCUAGGAACGAGCGAGCCCCUCGCGCGCGUGCGGAAGACGAGCCGGUGGAAGACGAGAUGGCGCUGACGAGCCCUUCUCUGAUUCGUUUCACGAACAACAUCCGGGGCCUUCCAUAAUCUCAGGACGAAGACGACGACCCGGCCGUGGUGCUCGACACCUCCGGGACGGCGGGGUUGUUCAGCAGCUGGUGAUCGCAGGAUCGCGGGCCCGCAGGCGUCGUCGGGCGACGCGUAGAGGCCGUCGUCGGUGCCGUGCUGCCGGGCGACGCGUAGAGGCGUGUCCGCGGUGCCGGUCUGCGGCUCCCCAGCGACGGCGGCGGCCUAGAUGCGCUCGACGAGGCAGGACUUCCAUCCAGAGGUAGCGCAUGAGGUCCUUGAACUGCGCCUCGAUUUUCUACUCACGGAAUCACCGCAUGCAGGAGCUAUCGUCUUCCGUAUUAUCGCUGCCUAGGGUUUGAGCUGUCGCGCGUGCAGAAUCAAGUGGCGGCGACCUUGCGAUCCAUAUGGCGCCAUCGGGUCUGGAGGUGGAGUCGUUGGAGCAUGACCUCCUGGGCAGCGGUGACGGAGCGAGCGACAGUAACGGUGAUUAGGGGCGGAUGAGGUAAUCGUAAGGAACGUGAAUAAUAAAUUGAAGUGAUAGUAUAAUAAUAUGUAUUGUUGUAAGGCACCUUUAAUUCUCGACUCAUUGUACAACAGGUGGUUGAUGAAGUUGCGAAAAAUUAUUUCAUCGUUCCUGAAGUUGGAAUGUCUUUUCAAUCUGAGGAGGAAGCUUAUGAUAUGUACAACACCUAUGCAGGCAAGGUUGGGUUCAGUAUUAGAAAGAGCGACACAAAGCGUCGAAGAGAUGGCAGUAUCUAUCUCAAAUAUAUAGUUUGCAGUAGUCAAGGUCAUCGACAAAUUGAGUCAUCAAAGGACACUACAAGGACAGGUUGUGAUUCUCGUAUUCAGUUUAGUGUUAGCAAGGAGGGGGUUUGGUCAGUGCAGAAGGUUGUGUUUGAUCAGAACUAUUACCUUGCAAGUCCAAAUAAAAGACAGAAGCUUAGGUCCCAACGACGUGUUCAAGAAGCGGACAAGAAGCUAAUUGGCCAGAUGAAGGAGGGCGGGAUGAAACCAGCCCAAGUGUUUGAGUUUAUGGUCAAUUUUAUGGAGGAGCCGACAAAGUGCCAUUCUCACGGAUUGAUUGUAACAAUGAGAUUGGUCGGCAGCGCAGAAAAUACUUAGAAUCCAAUGACGCACAAACAUUGUUGGAAUACUUAAAAAAUAAGCAGAUAGAGGAUCCAACAUUUUUUUAUGCCAUUCAAAUAGAUGAAGAAGAUGGCAGGAUGGCUAACUUCUUUUGGGCGGACGGUCAAUCUAUCAUGAAUUACACAUGUUUUGGUGAUGCCGUGUCUUUUGACACCACGUUUCAGACUAAUAAGUUUGAAAUGCCUUUUGCUCCGCUCCUGGGAACCAACCAUUACAAGCAGACUAUAAUUUUUGGGUUUGCAUUAUUGUUUAAUGAGACUAUUGAAUCAUUUGUUUGUCUAUUUGAAACCUUUUUAACAGCUGUCAGGUAAGCAUCCCAACACAAUUUUCACUGAUCAAGAUGCGGCCAUAGCAGGUGCAAUUGCUUAUGUAUUCCUAAACACAAGUCAUCAUCUUUGUUUGUGGCAUAUUUAUCUAAAUGCUGCUAAACAUCUUGGUCAUGUAAUCCAGCAGCAUCCAGAGAAUUUUCUUCCUGAUUUUAAGGGAUGUGUCUAUGAAGAUAGAUCUGAGUUUUACUUUAACAAGAAGUGGGAUGAAUUGUUGUGUGAGUACAACCUUAAGGACAAUGAAUGGAUGUUAAACCUAUAUGAUUUGAGGACAAAGUGGGCUGCUGUGUAUACCGUGACUCAUUUACAGCUGAUAUGAACUCCACUCAAAGAAGCGAAGGUAUGAAUAACGUAUUCAAGAAAAUGUUUCUUAGGAAAUUGUGUAUUUCGGAACUACUUGAAGAAUGUGACAAGGUUUUUGUUAGUCUUCGUAAUAACGAGUUGGAUGAAGAUUUUCAAUCACGUCGAAAGAGUCUAGUUGCACACAUACCUCUUUUGAAGACUGCGGUCGAGUCAUAUACAAGCCGAAUGUAAAAGAGUUUCAGGAAGAAUUUAAUGAACAAUUUUCAUUCUCUUGUAAGUUGUUACACACUGAGGGGUCGAUUUUGACAUAUACGGUUACACAUAUGUACUAUGAUUAUGGAGCAACGGUUGUGUUCAACAAAGUAGAUAUUACCAUUACAUGUGCUUGCAGAAAAUACGAAUCCAUAGGUACAUACAAAAAUCUUUAUUGCAAUAGUAUAGUUUAUAAUACAAAGUAAUGAAAUAUGAUAUCCACAUAUAGGUUUACUGUGCAAGCAUGCCCUCAAAGUCUUCAAUGCAAACAAUAUUUUCUUGUUGCCAUCUCAAUACAUAUUGAAUAGAUUGAAAAAAUAUGCAAAGAAAAGAUUCUAUAUUGAGAAACAAGAAUUUGAAAAGGAAAGCUUGAAAACGCAUGCUGCACGUAUUGCACGAAAGGCGACAUCCAUUGCAUUGAAGUGUUCACUAUCCAAGGAACUUCUUGUUGAUUUGGAGAAUGCCAUAGAUAAGUUGGACUUGGAAGCAGAUAAUUCUCUAAGCAGGAUGCAACAAAAAGCCAGUGAGGUCCCUCUAGUUUCAACAAACUGUGUUAUAGAUACAUUAAGAGGUAAAAUAUCAUUUAGAAUUCCUCGGGUGAUAAAAGGCCCAAAGAGUAAGCGAGGGACCAUCUCCCUUGAAAAGAAUAAAGGGAAGAAAAAGAAAAGUGGUAAAAAGCAAGGUACUACUCAUAUCAAUUCUACAUGUUUUUAUCUAUUAUAUGCCAAUAUAGUUAAAUUGAUAUGUUUGAAUAUAGGACAAGAUUCAACAACUGCAGUAGAAAAUAGAUCCGAAGUAUACGAAGGUGCUAAUCUAAAUCAAUUUAUCGUAAGUCAUAUGUGUUGGACUAAGUCCACUUUUCAUAUUUGAAUUCCUUAUAUGCAACUAUUUAUCGUAAGUCAUAUGUGUUGGACUAUAUCCACUUUUCAUAUUUGAUUUGGUACAGGAUUUUAAUGAUGGUGAAAAGGAUGUUAACAGUAUGGUGCCAAACUCUGCAAAUGAUGUGCAUGGACAAUCUUCGUCCAUGGUUGCUCCAUUGAUCCAAGGUAGCUAUGCUAAUGCCAUAAUACCACAAUUUAAUAUGUACAGAGAUUCUUCAACCGUGGGUGCUCCUUAUAUGCAAGGAGGAUAUACAAAUCUCUUACUUGGAGUUGAUCGAGCUGCCACAUUACAGCCGGCUGUUAAAAAGUUAAUUUUUGGUGGAAUGCCAAAUCAAGAAAGUAUGUAACCUUUGUUGUGUUACCCAUAAUUUUAUUUGGAUCUGUAUUAUAUCAGUUGGUACCAUGUAACUCAUUUAUAUUGUUCGAUAAGGAUCACAUCACCCUUUAUGGACCUGUCAUUUUUUUUUACAUAUCACUUCCACGUACCACUCUUUAGAUUUAAACUUUUUCAGAUUAUGAAAUAUCCCAAAUUUUGUUUGUGAAACGAAUCAGAGAAGCUGUGGCAACAGAUUCUGUAACCCUUCGUUCUGGAGCCAUGAGGCGAGAGGAGCUCCUGCAGGCGCAGAGAAGCCCUGCUAAGCGUCGGCUCGUCUUCCGCCGGCUCGAGAGGCACGCACGCGAGGGGCUCGUCUUCCUAGCUCGUUUAUUUUUUCUUCUUCAGCGCUGGCUCAUCUUCCGCGCGAGGGGCGCGGGCGUUCAAUCGGGAAGGCCGCCCACGCAUCAUGAUCUGGGGCCGUCCUGCACCAGGACUCGGUUGUAGGAGUCCUGCGUCUAAUUUUUUUCCGCUGCAAACGACUCUUCCGCGAGGACUAGUGCGUCGCUCAGCUCCAUCCCUUGACGCGGUACUCGAUCGGUGAGCCGGUUCGUGAGAUCAACUUCGCCGACCUACCCAACAAGCGAGGACUUAGAACUCGCCUAGCGACGUGAUAUCGGAUUUUGUUGCACCUAGUUGUCUUUUUGGUCAAUGGUCAAUUGCUUGCGUGACCCUGCGCGUCUCUCUUCUUACUUUCUUGACUACUUUCUAUCUUAUGAGCCAUUGAAUGAGGUCAGUUCGUUGAACGUCGCAGCGACCUGCUGGCUGGAGUGGGAUCAUCAUUUGAUGGAUUCAUAGAUGGCCACGGAUUGAAGCAGGGAGUACGUUACACGAAGUCUACACGAACCUCGGUCGUCUUCCCGUGUGACGCAUCUACGACAAUGACAUCAGAGAGAAAGUUUGGUUCGCGUGUCUACUCACUUGUGAAAAGGAUGCGAGGCGACGAUCACUUCGAUCCCCUCGAUCUCUUUAUCGCACAUUGAACGUACCGUUAAAUUUGAAGUGCUAGUACCUAUCCCAACAACUUCGUUUCUUGUUCCUGCGACGAUCGAUCUCCUCCGCGACUCGGAACUCCAAGCGUUGGUCAGGCUCAUCUUUCUGUAGUCUGUACAGAUGUAGUACACGGUACUACACCACCCAUCUUUUCACAUCCUACUAGUAGGCAGUAGCACUAUAUAUACACUGAGAUGCACAUACACUACUGCUCCCAGUCCUAGGCAACCCCGUUCGUCCAGCUACUGCAAACAUGAGUGCAAUCAUGUUCGACUCCCGUAGUUUCACGCAUCAGUUCAAGCUCAACUACGAGAAGACGAAGAACGUCGCCAUCGGGCAAGCCGUCAGCUCCGAGGAGAUCUCCGCUGGGGGGAAUCGGCACCCUGAAGCUUGACGGCUAGCUAGCACUUCCAUUGCAUAUUUGCAUUGGUGGUUAGUAGUUAGAUAGAAGAAGCUUUGUUUAGUUGAUCGUGCAGUUGGAGACUCCAAUUGGCGUGAUUUAUUUCGUGAAGCUUCACUCGGUCACCUCGUCUCUUCAAGAUCAGAUCACUGCCCAGUUUUGCUAAAAGUUGCUAAAGAGGUCUGGAGGCCCCCAAACAAGCCGUACCAUCGAUAUGAGAUAAUGUGGGAGAGACAUCAUGCAUUGCCAGAAAUAAUUCGCGAGGCUUGGGAAAAAACAGCUCAGGGAAAUGAUCUUGGGGAUAUUGCUGAAACAUUGAGGAAUGUUAUGGGUAAAUUGAAGAGAUGGAGUUGGGAGAAUUUUGGUGCAGUCACUAGAGAAAUUACCUCUUUACGUGCUCAGAUCGAGGUACUGAAGGCAAGCAAUGGGCCAGGUGAAGAAGUGGAAUUAAGGAAAGCAAUGAUACGUAUGGAUGAACUGUUGUAUAGAGAAGAGAUGAUGUGGCUACAGAGAUCUAGAAUUUCUUGGUUGAGGGAGAGGGAGAUCGAAACACAAAAUUUUUUCAUAGUAAAGCUGUCUGGCGUAGUAGGAAAAACAAAAUUAAAAAACUUAGAAGAGUGGAUGGAUCCUGGUGUAACCAUCAGAAUGAGAUGGAGGAGAUGGCGUCCAAGUAUUUUGAAAAUUUAUUCACAAAGGAUGGCCACAUCCAACCAAGCAUGCUGUUGGACCAAGUGGAAUCUAAGGUAACACAAGAAAUGAAUACAGCUCUAUGCAGGAACUUCACUGAUGAGGAGAUAGAGAAGGCUAUUUUCCAAAUUGGUCCACUAAAGGCACCCGGGCCAAAUGGUUUUCCUGCUAUGUUCUUUCAAAAUAAUUGGGAGGUCUUAAAGAAGGAUGUGGUGGCUGCAAUAAAAGUGUUUUUGAUACCUGUAAAAUGCCUGAAGGUGUGAAUGAGGCAGCAAUAGUACUAAUUCCAAAGGUGGAUAAUCCAACAGAAUUGAAAGAUUUUCGUCCAAUUAGCCUAUGUAAUGUCAUAUACAAAGUUGUCUCUAAAUGCCUAGUAAACAGAUUGCGGCCUUUCUUGAAUGUCCUGAUUGAACAAGAGCAGAGUGCCUUUGUGCCAGGAAGAAUGAUUACUGAUAAUGCGCUGAUCGCCUUUGAGUGCAUUCAUGCAAUGCAAACAGGUAACAGGUAUGCUCAAUCUUUCUGUGCUUACAAGCUGGAUCUUUCUAAAGCCUAUGAUAGAGUGGACUGGGUGUUCUUGGAAGGUAUGUUAAGACAGCUGGGUUUCUCAAAACAAUGGAUUUCUUGGAUAAUGGAGUGUGUUACCUCAGUGAAAUAUUCUGUUAAAUUCAAGGGAUCUUACAGAGAUCAUUUAAACCAUCACGUGGCCUUCGGCAAGGGGAUCCUCUCUCUCCCUUCUUAUUUCUGUUUGUGGCAGAUGGCCUGUCCUUGUUAAUGAAAAGAGCUGUUGAAGCCCGCCAAUUACAAGCUAUUUCCAUUUGUCGUCAGGCUCCUCGUAUCUCUCAUUUGCUUUUUGCUGAUGAUACUUUGUUACUGUUCAGAGCAACUGGUGAACAGGCCAGAAAAAUCAAGGAGGUGUUAUGAAUCAAGUACCGGUCAACUAAUCAAUCCUGAAAAGUGCUCGAUAAUGUUUGGAGUGGCAUGGCCUCAGGAUGCCAUGGGCAGUGUCUGUGGCGAGCUGCAAGUUCAUAAUGUAGCAGGUGAGGCUAAAUACCUGGGCCUGCCUACACCUGAGGGGCGUAUGAAGAAAGGUCGUUUCCAACCACUUCAAAAUCGGUUUGGAAAAGCAUGAAUGACUGGAGCGAACGUAACAUGUCUCAAGCUGGAAAGGAGAUCCUAAUUAAGUCUGUAGCUCAAACCUUGCCAACAUAUAUUAUGGGAGUUUAAAAUGCCCCUUGUUGACGCCCAAAAGUGGCACGGCCCGAGAUACAUGAGGCUAAGAUCAAAAUUGAUUGGCACUAACUCUUGAUAUUUUGCAAGUUUGACUUGAAUAUGAAUUGUGCAGGACAAAAGGGUCGUUUUGGAUGCUCUGGACGUAAUUGUGCUAAAAAGGACGAAUCAACACUUGGAAUGACACCAAAAAUAGCAGAUAUGGCUGAUAUGACAGAGCCAUCCUGACCGACCUACUGAAGCGGUCUGACCAGUUAUUGGUCUUGUGGCUGAUCCGACAAUCCAGACCGGUCACCCAACAGGUCAGACCGGUCAGAUUAAAGUGCUCAAAAUAUAGAUUGGAUAUCACCAUUGCGUAGAUCUCGUCGAGAUGAUCGAAAUGCAUAUGUGGAACGCCUAAUUUGGAGUCCGGAUGAGAGAUUUAUAGCUUCGACAAGAUUCAGCCCUGGGCUGACUGGUUAGACUGGUUUGGAUGGGCGGUCUGACCGGUCUACCCAGCCCUGGGCUGACUGGUCAGACUGGUUUGGAUGGGCGGUCUGACCGGUCUACCCAGUCUAGUCCGAGCUAGGAGUUGUAUUUUGACACGGGAUUUAUGUAAUCUUCGACUCCUACUGGGGCAAGACCUCCCCACCCUAUAAAUAUAAAGGGCAACGGCCGAUUGAGGGAUCCCAAUCGAAUCAAUCUACAAUUUACUUUUAUCUUCUCAACCCUAAUACUUUUCCAACCUCUAUGCUAUUCAUCUACUGUUCUCCACGACCAUAGAUGGCGUUCUAGGCUUGCUGGUCGACCUAGAGCACGCCUUUGCUAGUUUGCUCAUAAACUAGUCAUUCUUCGCCACAUAAGUGCGUUGGUUAUCCCUUUGCUGGUUUGCUCGUAAACCUAGCCGUCCUCCACCAUGUAAGUGUGGUCUUUACCUCCUCGAACGACUGAUCCGGGCCAAACCUCAGGAGACCGAUUUGACCAGGUUGCUGGACCGGUCUGACCGGCCUGUGCAGCAUCUCUGCCAUUCGGUCCGUUCGCGACCCGUGCGAUAUAGUGCACUCGUGUGUUAGCCGAAAAAGGCGUCAACACUCCUCACUCUUUGUGAUGACUUUAUGCAAAUUAUAAGGAAUUAUUGAUGGGGUGCAUAGAAUGGUCGAAGGAAGACACAUUGGUGUUCUUGGGAGACAAUGCUACAACCAAAGAGUAAUGGUGGAUUGGACUUUCGGGACUUGCGUCUUUUUAACCGAGCUUUGCUAGCUCAACAGGGCCUGGAUAGUUUAUGUGCAAAGGUCAAAUAUUACCCGAGGGAAAAUUUGUAUCCAGGCUAAAUAUUACCUGAGGGAAAUUUGUUGGAUACAGUAUUUGGUGGCAAUAUUUCAGCCACAAGGCGUUCCAUUAUGUAUGGACCGGAGCUGGAAAAAAAAAGAAUUCUACAAAGAAUUGGAAAUGGCAGUAGUAUUCAGAUUUGGCGAGAUAAUUGGAUUCCUAGAGAAGUUUCUUUGAAAGUGGUAACAAAAUGCAGAAGGCCAAGAAUCAGGUGGGUCUCUAACUUAUUUGAGAAUAAACAUAGAGAUCGGAACUGCGGCCUUACUAGAAGUAUUUUUCUACCAGUGGAUGCUGAUGCUAUUCUAAAGAUAAGGAUUCCCACUAAUGAAACACGAGAUCAAAUUGCUUAGCAUUUUGAGGAAUCAGGGUUAUUCUCAACAAGGUUUGCAUAUAAAUUGGCUCCGAGGAUGCAACGUCAAGACCAGAUAGCAUUGAGUACAGAACCAAAGAGGAGGGAGAAGCUAUGGAGCAAUAUCUGGAAGGAUGUGCCACCAAAAGUACAUAUGUUUGCAUGGAGACUUGCCUCAAAUGCUCUUGCAUCGAACACUAAUAAGAAGGCGAGGCAUAUUAUUGAGGAUGAUACCUGCACAAUCACUACAAGAAAUCUUCCGACUAGUAACGAACCAAAGAAUGUCAUAAACACAUUUUUUCAUCAUAAACCAUGAUUUAUGAUGCAGGAGUGACGAAAACUCUUCGUCAUUCGUUGAGCGUCAUAAACUGCGACUAGUGAUAUUCCUUAUUUUGGUGUGUCACUAAGGUUAUGACGAAUGAAAAUUCAUCCCACAAGUCAUCAUAAAACUAUUUCCGAGGUUGCGCCACGUUAGACAAGAAUCCAAUGUGGCUCCGACAUGUUAGCUGUGUUAUGACGAUUCUGGUACGUCACAAAUUGAAGCCCGGUUCAUGUAAGAGCUUUUUUAGCCCAAAUUUUAUUGGGCCAUUUGUAGCCCAAAUGAGGUUUCCAUGCAAUAUUUUUUUAUGAAAAAAAUUGUUGCAGGCCAUAUUGGGCCAAAAAUUUUUGUGUGUCAGGCCCAUGUAACAAAUAUUAAUUAAUUUAAAAUCCAACUAGAUUAAUCUAAAGAAUUAUUGCAUUCUUAUUGCUGACUGCAUACAAUUUUGACGCCAAUUUCAUAUAUACACAUACUAUCCAUUUUUGGCUCGACCUAAUUUACAUGGCAACAGUGGCCCAAUUAGCACCCCAUCUGUUUGGUCUAGAACAAGUAAAAUUUACAUACACACAAAUGAGGAAGCACAAAGUUGCACCGAAUGCAUCUUUCAAAGGGAUUUGCACAAGAACAGCAGCAGUAGCAGGUAUCAACAAUCAAAUUCUUCACCAUGAACUAGACUUCUGAUAAUCAUGCUUCAUCAUUUUAUACGCUGUAAAAGAAAUAAACUGGUGCAUGAAACAUGAGACAUUAACUCUGCAAAAGUGACACUUGACUCUUUAAAUAAACUAAAAGUAAACUAACAAUGUUUAUGGUUGUAGGUGCAGCCCUACGUAAUAAGACCACAAGCAACGGCUUUGCUUACAUUUCUUAUUUACUUCCAUCUUCUCAAGAAUUUCUAGCAGCCUUGCAGUUAGGGAUGGCAAUCGGGUGGAUCUGGACCUGAGACCCGUGGGUUUCAGAUGGGGGCGGGUCUGGAAUUCCCCUCACGGGUCUCGGGUUCAGGAACCCAGGGCGGGUACGGGACCGGGUUAUGGAUUCCCCCGUCCCACGAAGCACGAAGCGGCUGCUGGCCUGCUCCCACUCCAUCUCUCACCUGCCGAUCUGGCCCAUCAGACCUUCUACUACCACAGCUCCCGACUCACCCCCUCCAUCUCUCAUCUGCUCGUGCUACCUCUUCUCCAUCUCUCACCCGUCACCCAUGCACCUAGAGGCGUUGACGACCAGUGCGCCGUCGCACCCCCGCGUGGCUGGCCCUAUCCCUAGUGGCAGCGGCGGCCAGCCCCCCUGCGCGGCCGCCCUACGACCAAGACGGGGCCAUGGACGGUGGCGGCGGCGGAUCUCCUCCUACCUGGCGGCACCACGCCUCUGCCGCGCCGUCCCCCCUCUCUCUCCCCGCGCCGCCGGCCGCUCCCUCCCUCUCUCUCCACGCCGCCCCCUCCUUCUCUCCCCGCGCCGCCGGCCAGGAGGAGGGUGCGGUGGCGCUGGUAGAGGUGAGGGGCGGCAGCGGUGCUGGCAGAGGUGAGGGGCUCGGGUUUCGGGGUCUCCGUCGGGUUUCGGGGCCCCGCGGGGUUUGGGGAUGGGUGCACAUUUUCACCCGAAAUGAGAUUCAGGGCCGGAUCAGGUUUUAUUCUCGGGUUUCGGGAACAGGUUCACGGAAGUUCCACCCAACCCCGACCCGUCCCGUUGCCAUCGCUACUUGCAGUGAAUUCGUCAACCUGCCUUAUCCUGAAAUUAGGAAAUGACAGAUUUCUGUUGAUACGACUCCUUAUAAGCUUAUCAAAAAAAGAAAUCAUUGUACAGCUAGGCAAAUCAAAAAUAGGCUAGCCGCUCAAUAAUGUUUAACAGUCUAACAGAGGAGUAUAAAUAAACUACUGAAAGGUAGUAGGCACAGCUCGAGCAUCAUGCAGACAAGCCAUCCACCUUGUUGGAUGGCAUUAGUGACCAAUGUAGAAGAGAAGUAGUAAAUAACAGAGCAAAAGACUAUGGCAAGGAAAAAGUUCCAUUCCUUGACAAUAUGAGGCCUACAACAAAGUCCAAUGGUCCUAGUUUAAAUAUUGUACUUCAUAUGGGUAGAUCAAUUGAAUGUUUUAGAUUUAAAACCACAUGUCAAGAUGUAACAUUUACCUCCCAAAUGGUGACACAGGUUGAAUGUCUCACAGCUCUACAAGUCUCUGUUCAGUACCUAGGUGGUCAUGUAACUUUGGGUCGAGCACCUGAAUAAUAGAAGCAAGAUGCUGAAGCUGGUUUGGUAUCCAGAGUGUUAAAAUAUUUAGAUCAGAGCACAGAGCAGGGAGCACGUGAAGCAAUAUUCAGAUCAGAGUAGACAGACAUGUAAAUCCUAGAUUGAUACAUGUAUGCUCUAUUUAUGAUAUCAUUUGGUCAAGCUAUCAGGUUAACAUUUCAAUACACCAUCAUCUCUAUUAGAAGUUCAUGUCCAACAAGGUUAAAUAACAUUUGGUCAAUAUUAUUCUUUUUGUGCAGUACAAUCUUUUACCUCACAAAGGAAACAGAAGGUUGCACCCUCUUGAUGCUACCUGAAAGCAUUACAUGCACGCUACUACUGAUUUUUUUUACAGAAAAUAGAAUAACUAAAGGUCCAACUGCACACUUGUGUUUGAUGUGUUGAAAUAAAAAUGGCUAUUAUUCUACUACCAGAUUGAAGGAUUUAAAUUCAUAAACAAAUUUUAUUGUAGCAUGGAUUACUGACAGAUUUUUAAAUCCAGGUAAUAAUAAACAAGGCAACCAUACACAACAAAUUGAUCUAACAUCUUAUUUCCCACAUGCUUGUUCAUAGAACAUUCAGUCAAAUAUGCAAUUCAGACUUUGCCAAGAAUGUGCCAGAACUCAAUGAUUAAAUGGUAAUUUUCAGAUAUACCUUGGUGCUUUUCUCCUGCCUAGUCAAAGUUGAUAGGUGGUGGUUUUAACAUGCAGUAGAUGAGCUGAGGGGAUGAGAAGGGACAGAACGGACAUUGCGGCUGUCUAGUGCGUGUCCAUGCUCCCUUGUGCUGCAGUAAUGCCUCUGCCAGCUGCGAUACGUCCACAUCCAUUUCCCUUAGCCAUAACUCCACGCAACAAAAGUCCUCCCUUUCCUAUGCGCAAACAAAGAGCCCAAUCCACAUUCAACCACAGCGAAUAAAACAACCCACAAACAAUAUAAGGAAUCAGGAGCAAAAUCGAAUGGAAAAACAUUCUUGUUCACCUGGUUUCGAUGGAGCCGCCUGCUGCAUCCCCAAGAGCCGCCGCGUGGCAUGGGGUGAUGCGCGUGAUCCGUACCAGCGAAGGCAAGCAACAGGUGGUUGUUGACGUUCGUUAUUGACACACUUUUAGUACUAUUUAAUCAGUGUUUUCAUUCUUAAUCUUAUAUUGACCCGCCCCUUGGCACCUAAAAUAACUCCAUUAUUACAUAUUAUUGUAUUUUAGAUUAUAUUGCAUUAUGACAGGAAAUACGACAUAAUCAAGGGGGUUUGCAUAAAGAACUUAAUGGAUAACAUGGGUCGUCGAGAGAAGCCAACACGAGGAAGGAGAGGACUAAAAGGACCAUGAAGGGAUCGGCCAAGGACCCUCUGGGCCCAUCAGCCUGACCCAUUCCAGGGUCCAGUCGACCUUCCGUUUCUUCAGCGUGAAGUCUACGAUAAUGUCUAGGGUUUUUUCACCAACAUUGACCCAGAGCCGCUGCCUACGGGGAACUAUAAAUACCCCUUCAUGAACUUCAAGGAAGAGAAAGGGGGAAAGAGAGAGGAGAAAACACCACGUAAACACCAUCUAUCACCGCCACAAUGAGGAAAAACGGAGAAAAGAUUGGAUCUAGAAGAAGCCACGCGAAGCGAAGCACCAGAGCAGGGAGAAACCUCCCAAACCGAUCAGCUUGGAGGUGCCCAGUUCUUUCAUGCAUGGUGAUUACAUCUACAAGUGAUCCUAGAUUCCUAAGACAAGCGUUUUAUCUAUCUUGUUUACAUUCAUACUCUCUAUCUGUUUUAAUCUAAGUCACUAGUUUGUUAGAUCAAUCUUAUCAUAUAAAAAAACCUUCGGUUACAUAGAUUAGUGCUUAGUUAAGCGUGCAAAUCCACUUAUUCCACAGAUUGAUAAACCUUGGAGGGAAGAGUUACCACUGAUUCAUACGCUUGCGGUUCAUAAAUUGAUGUGCUAACUGCCAUCAACAAGCUUUUCUGGCGCCGUUGCUGGGUAACAACUCAGUUUUGCUAUGUUUAACUUUGUAUUAAUUUUUGUUAACCCCUAACAUCUAACUUUUUCUCUAGAAAAGAAAACCUUUAUUUUUGUUUUUGGUGUCUAGAUGGCUCUAAUAAAUCACUACAAGGAGGAAGGAGAAAAUUCGCUAAGGGACUAUGCAAUGCCAUUAACCGAUCAAUUCGAUAUGUAGAAAUCCGACUCAGUGCUUGCAGCCAAGGAGUACAUCAUGGAUAAAGGAAUAAUUGACAUAGCUGGAAGACAUCCUUUCCAAGGAGUGGAGACUGAUAAUCCAUAUAGACACAUUGAGUGAUUCACGAUGCUAUGCAACACGCUACAACAAGGAAUUCCGCCAACUUGGUUCAAGUGGAAUCUAUUCCUGUUUUCACUUGAAGGUGAAGCGAGAUGAUGGUAUGCAAAAGCUUCUUUCGACACGAAGGGGAAUUGGGAGACACUGAUGAUAAAGUUUUAUGAGAGAUUUUUCUCUAUUAGCAAACUUUAGAACCUUCGGAAGGAAGUUAUCAUGUUUGUGCAAGAAGAAGAUGAAGGAAUAGAUCAAGCUAGUCAGAUUCAACGAACUACUCGAACAAGGACCUAAGCUUGGAUUUUCAGGUGAUGUGUUGUUGUAUACAUUUUAUUUUUCACUAACCCAAAAAUACCGGGAAUUUGUUCAAAUGUGUGCAGGAGGAGACCUUAUGAAAAAAGACACUUAGGGAGGUUGCUCAACUUCUACAAAAAAUCGGCGGAGGAGCAGCCGUAAACAGAGAAUGGGAUAAAUAUCAAUCUGGGGCAUGAGAGGAAGGAAAUCAAGAACAUAUACUUGCUGGAAUUUUCAGAAAAGAACUCUAGAAAGAUGAGAAGGAAGACCUGUGGUGAAAAAAGAAGAAGAACCAGCACAGAUAAAGGAGAAACCUACCCGGUGCAUCAAAUACGACAAACCAAAAAUAUCAGCAGCUCGAAGCUUGGCCCUGCGGAAGUUUGAACAAAUGGAUUGGAUUCCUAUCGAUUUCAGCGAGAUAUUUGAUAAAUAUAGGCCAUAUCCAAAUCAAAAGGGGUCAACCAGUGCCAUAGAGAUGGAUUUUCCACUAGAGAGACACACUGGGUAUAUGCUUGACAAGGAAACAGUUGGAGAAAUCAUUCAAAAACUUUUCAGCGAAGAAGUAAACCCAGAAUAUGUUGUUGAAGUAAAGAGAGUCAUGGGAGUAAAACCUGAAGCAUCACCUUUCGCCAGCCUAGUGCAGAUAUACGCAAUUGGGAUCAAUAAAAACAAGGGAGUGUAUUUGCCUACACCGCAUAUUGACUGCAUGAUCAAUGGGAAGAUUAUCGACAAAGCACUCUGUGAUAUUGGAGCACAUAUAAGUGUCAUGUCUUCAAAACUUUAUGAUAAACUUUUUAGUAAGACUUUGCAACUUGCUCCAACACCAAUUAAAUUGAUCAUGGGAGAUGGUAGAACAACCGAACCUUUGGGUGUGCUUAGAGAUCUAAAAGUUGAUAUCUCAAAUAAAUCUAUACCAACUGAUUUCUUUGUUAUUGAUCCUUCCCAUGAUAAACAUGAUGAUAUAAUCCUUGGUAGACCUUUUCUUAAAUUGGUAAAUGCUAUGCUUGAUGCAGGAGAAGGCAAAGUAACAAUUAAUUUUGAUGGUGCUAGAAAUACUUACAAUUUUCUGCCUGCAUCUUGGAAAAAUUUGCAUCUAUCUCCUUGUAACGAGGAGGUAGAAAGGGUAUGCUUUGCUAAAAAUUUUAGGGAGUCUUUAUUAAGAGCAAUGGAAAAUAAUGAGGAUGACCAAAAUAACAAAUUGGGAGAAGAAACUAAAGUAUUGUCACCUCAAUAUGGAACUCUGGAGGAAGAAAAAUUCGAAGAUAUUGGAGAAUUGAUGCAACAAAAACCAGAAGCACCAGAUGUUGAGCAGAAGCCGUUACCCAAGGGAUUAAAAUAUGAAUAUUUUAGGAAUAACAAGACGUAUCCAGUCAUUGUUAGCGACGACUUAAGCAAAGAAGAAAUUGAGAAGUUGCUGAAUUUAUUGAGAAGACAUCAAAAAGUGCUUUGGUACACGAUCAAAGACUUAAAAGGAAUUGGUCCAGCCUUCUGCACUCAUCGGAUAUAGUUAGAAAAUCAACAUAAGCCAGUUGUGGAGGGACAGAGAAGACUAAGCCAUGCUAUGCACGAUGCAGGAAAGAAGGAGGUGAUCAAAUUGCUUAAUGCUGGGAUUAUUUAUCCAGUACCACACAGUGAAUAGGUGAGCCCAGUGUAUUGCGUACCUAAAAAAGGAGAACUUACUGUCGUAACAAAUGAGAAGAAUGACCUGACCCCUCAGAGGACGGUAACAGGGUGUUGGAUGUGUAUCGACUACUGGAAGCUGAAUAAGGCAACUAGGAAGGAUCACUUCCCUUUGCCUUUAAUUGAUGAAAUGCUUGAAAGGUUAUCAAAGCAUUCUCACUUUUGCUAUCUUGCUGGAUGUUCCGUGUUCUUUCAAAUUCCUAUACAAUCAGAUGAUCAGCAUAAGACCACGUUCACUUGUCCAUAUGGAACUUUCGCUUAUAGAAGGAUGCCUUUUGUAUUGUGCAAUGCACCUACAUCUUUUCAAUACUGCAUGAUGGCUAUAUUUUUAGAUUUCAUUGAAGAUACCAUCGAGGUAUUUAUGGAUGAUUUUUUAGUUCAUGGUACAAGUUUCGACAACUGUCUGGAAAAUCUUAAUAAAGUUCUUAAGCAAUAUAUAGAAGUUGAUCUAGUUCUAAACUUGGAGAAGUGCCACUUUAUGAUGAAACAAGGACUAGUAAUUGGGCAUGUCAUCUCAGAAAGAGGGAUAGAAGUUGAUAAAGCAAAAAUCAAAACUGUGGAAAAGUUGCCUCCGCCUAUAGAUAUAAGGUCAUUGAGAAGCUUUCUCGGACACAGGAUUUUAUAGGAGAUUCAUUAAGGAUUUUUCAAAGAUCACCAAACCAUUGACACAGCUCCUGCAAGAAGAUGUGAAUUUCGAGUUUGAUGAAGACUGCCUCUAAGCUUUCAGAACUUUAAAACAAUCGCUCAUUAGUGCGCCCAUCAUUCAACCUCCAGAUUGGAAUCUACCUUUCGAAAUAAUGUGCGUUGUAAGUAAUUAUGCUAUUGGGGCAGUCCUUGGAUAAAGAAAAGAAGGGAAGGUACGCGCAAUUUACUAUGCUAGCAAAACAUUAAAUGAGGCUCAAAUAAAUUAUGCAACUACGGAGAAAGAAUUGCUUGCGGUAGAGUUCACUUUUGAAAAAUUCAGAUCUUAUAUUGUGAACUCCAAGGUGAUUGUGUACACCGACCAAACUGCGCCUAAAGAUCUUUUGUUCAAGAAAGAUACUAAACCACGUCUGAUUUGCUGGAUAUUGCUGCUACAAGAAUUUGAUGUGGAUAUCAGAGAUAAACAGGGAUCAAAAAAUAUGGUGGCUGACCAUUUGUUGAGAAUGUAUCAACAAGAUGAUGAAAAAGAGCCUAUUGAAGAUCAAAUGAGGGAUGAUCAUCUAUAUAGAAUUCUCGACAAGGAUACUUGGAUGAAUGACAUUAUUAGAGCAAUAAAAAGAGCUCCCUUGAAUCACUUACACAGGAAUGAAAGGAGAAAAGUGGUUGCUGAAAGUAAGAAAUACUAUUGGUCUCCACCUUAGCUAUAUAGAUAUGGAGCCGAUGGAGUAUUAAGAAGAUGCAUCCCAAGGGAAGAAAGGGAAGCGGUACUUCAAAAAUGUCAUUCAUCUGAAUAUGGAGGACAUUAUGGAUAUUUCAAAACUCAAGCAAAAGUCUGGGCAAGAGGAUUUUAUUGGCCAGAGAUGCAUGAAGAUGCAAAGAUAUUCGUUGCUACUUGCCCGGAAUGCCAAAGAACAGGAAAUAUUUCAGCUAGAAAUUCUAUGUUGUUGAACUACAACUUGAAGGUGGAUUUCUUUGAUAUUUGGGGUAUAGAUUUCAUGGGAUCAUUCUUAAAGUCACAUGGAUUUGAUCACAUAUUGGUCAUGGUUGAUUACGUGUCUAAAUGGGUAGAAGCUAAUCCAUAUUGGAAGGCGUCAACAGAAGAAUCAAUUCACAUGAUCAAGACUAUAAUAUUUUCCAGGUAUGGAGUGCCAAGAAUUUUGAUCAGCAAUGGAGGAUCACAUUUCACAGGAAAAGAUUUUGGCAAAUAUCUAUCAAAAUUGGGGAUUGAACAUAGAGUAUCUAUAGCCUAUCAUCCUCAAAUGAAUGGACAAGCAAAAACUUCUAAUAAACAGUUGAAAGAUAUCCUGAAGAAGACAGUGAUCAAAUGAGGGAAGGAUUGGUCAAAAAAGUUAGAUGGAGCAUUAUGGGCAUACAGGAUGGCUCAAAACACCUAUAGGUAUGACCCAAUAUCAAUUCGUCUAUGGAAAAACAUGCCACCUUCCCGUCGAACUCGAACAUAAAGCUUAUUGGGCUAUAAAGGAGAUGAAUCUUGAUGUUGAUGCUGCAAGAGUAAAAAGAAGAAUUUAGAUCAGUGAAUUAGAAGAGACGAGGCUUAAAAGCUUACUACAGUGUAACCAUUUAUAAAGAAAGGAUAAAGAGGUGAUUCGAUAAAAGGCUUCGCAAGAAAGAAUUUCAAAGAAGGAGCAAAGUGCUACUGUUCAACUCUAGGUUCAAACUCUUCGAUAAAGGAAAAUUGAUGAGCAAGUGGGACGGACCAUAUGUGGUUUAUUCUAUAUCACCUACCCAAGUAGUAACGAUUAUGGGCAUCAAAGGAGAUCAAUAUGUUAUGAAUGGAUAGUGACUAAAGGUAUUCUUGUAACUUGACAUCGUGCCCAUCAAUUAUAUUGGCGUUUACACCAUAGAGGAAGAAUGGCCACGUCAAGCCUGAUGACACUAAAACAGGUACCUUGUACAUACUCUAUCUUACAUUAUAUUAUUUUCUUUUGAAUUUUUAUGUGGUACUCAAAUAUUGGAUAUAUUUUUAGACGUACGCGCUGCCACGAAAAAGCGAAGAGUAGAGGGACCAAAAACCCAUAGGCUGAUCAGCCCAGAGACCCCAGGGCGAUCGGCCUGGAAGGUUUUCACCUCCGAUUUAGUUCCCCCUUUCCCAUCUUUGGUAAUGACAGAACAUGGAAGUGAAUUUUUGCGGGAAGGAGCGAGGAAGUUUUUUGGAAAUGCAUGGAUCCUUGGCCAAGACUUCAAGAGUAUAUAAUGAGGUCAAUUGGAGCUCGAGUUUCACAUCUAUACAAGCAAUUCAGAUCCACCCAAAUCAGAAAAAAAGUGCAAUGGCAACAUCCAGGAGCUCGGGAGACAAGAGGGGGCACCAACUGGCGAAGGAGGAGGUCAUGCCGAUUGGCCUAACCUUCCCAGGCCGAUUGGCACCAGCCCCUCCCUUGGCCGCCACCUUCACCCUUCACAUGGAAGCUAAGAGGUGCAAGUUAGGUCCCCAAACUCUGCCAAGGACCGCUCGUAACGCUUGCAUCAGUGUUGGAGGCAAGGCGCCGUCAGGAAAGCUCGCAGAUCACAAGUUCAUCAUCCUCUCGAGUGAUGAUGAGGCACCGAUGAAGAAGAAGGAGGCCGUCAUCUCUCCCACAAUACGUUCAGUAAGGCUCCUCCGGAUCAAGCACAAGAGAUAUGUGGAGAAGACGCCCGAGUACUCACUGGCUCACUAUGGAGGUGAUAGCGAUUGGGAGGCCGAUAGGAGCCCUGGAUCGUGGGGUGCUGCAGGCCGUGAUGAUGAAGAAGAUGCCAACAUGUACUGCGAUUGGGCUAAUGAGAUGAAGAAAAGUAAGGAGGAAGAGGAACGUCGUAAAGACAAGAGCAAAGAAAAAGAUCUAGAAGACAAUGGGCUAGAACUGGAGGAGCAUGAUCGUAUGUGUUGUACCUCUUGCUGGAAGAACAUCCACUACCUCUUCGACACCGUCGAUACAUCAUACAGGCCUUGCAAGCUCUGGAUAAGAAGGUUGAAGACAGUGAUCGCCAUCAGGAAGAUGACUUCAAGUUCUUGCAAAGGAACGUGAGGAAGCUCUUCGGGAUGUGCGGCAAUAUGAGGAAGAACAGAGCUAAUUGGGAACGAAGCAACAACCGUCCCGUGUGCAAGCAGUGCGGCCAGCAUCACUAGUGCGUUUACAAGCGUCUCUCCCUUUGUACUUCAUUCGGUUAUGACGAGAAAGUCGUAGAUUUUAAGCGUGGGGGGAGAUCGCCGCUCGUAAGGAGUUUUUGAAUCUAGUUUGGUCGAGUCGAGUCAUGUCAGAGUCUAAAUUAGUUUUUUUAUUUCAAUCAAAAGUAGAUAAAGUAGUAGUCUUCUUAAGCUUCUUGGAAGACUUAGGCCUAGAUCGCUACUUUUGCGUCUUUCUGAGAAGAGGCAUGAAUAAAAUCGAGGAUUGUGCGAGUGUUUUUAGUGUCUACCUUGACUUGCUUCUCUUUUAUUUUGCUUUACAACUUUGGAUCAUGAGAUUUGUCUUGAAUUCUAAAUCUUAGUUGUAGAGUUUAGUAAUUGAUUUGUUUAUGCAAUAUCCAUGCUUUAUCAUGAUCAAGUGUUUUGGUUUGGAUUAUCCUUUAUGAGUAAGGUCUAAAUUGGAGGUGAUUUAAAAUUUUAUUGCUUAAAACCUUUGCAAAAACAAGAUUGAUCAAGUUCUUUAACCAGGUUGAGAGUUAUUAUUUAUCCUAGCCAAUGCCUAAAAGGAUUAGUUCGUACCACCAUAAGCAGAUUCGACGCUUUGAAUUGAGUUAGGAUAGCUCUCUCUUGGUCUGCUUUAAUUAUGAGCAUUGAUCUGUAUCUUUUACCAUCUCUGAUUUCUAACCUCAUCAAUAUUCAGCAAUGAGAGUUGUUUACUGGAACAAUAAUAUUUUCUAUUGCAUUCAUAAACCUGAACCAAAUAUUUCUUAAUUUUAUUACAUAUUCCUUGAACACAACCCAAUAUUCGAAGAUCUGUUCGGUUUCUGAUCGAGCUUUAUGAAAAAUAAGGAAAGGUACAAGAAAAGGAAGUUUCACCAGGAAGUUGAGCCAGAGUGGAGGAUAAGAGAGGCCAGGCCGAUCGGCCUGGGGUCUCCUUGCCUCAGUUUUCGCGCAGCAAGUUCUUGGAAGGCCUCUGGAAGGAUCUAAAACUAAUUUUUAUGAUGUGGUGUUCAUAGGAGGUUAGGAGAAGAGAUAAAGAAAGAAAUAAAGAAGGAAGGAAAGAAAGAAAAGUAUUGAGAAAGAGAAAAGAAAUAAUAGAAGAAAAAGAAAAAGAAAUAAAGGAGGAGUUUUUACUGUCAUAAAGAUCAAGAUAGGUUCAAACAAAAGAUGAACUUGUUUAUAGAACAGAUUUUCAUUCCAAUCAUGUGCAAUCCGAUGACGAGGACAUCGCUUGGGCCUGAGAGUCACUAUUUUAUUUGCAUUUGCACAUGUCCACCAUUCUAUAUCUUAUCAUCCUUGAAAACCUCACAUUAUGUGGAUAUUCUUAUGAUCAAUGGCUCAAAAGGUAGGCAACCACUAAAGAAUUUUCUUAAUUCGAUAAUAUAAGUAUUGAUUCCAUCUAGCCUUACCCAAGCUCCACCAUAUAAUUGAGUGAUUUUUAAGAGAUGAGAGCUUGCAUAUAAGUAGGAUAGCCACUAUUCAUUUGAAGGACAUGUAAGCACCUGGAAAAGAAUUCUUGUUUCAAUUUUGUUCCAGGGAGAUUGUUUUAUGCCGAAAGAAAAACCCUCCGAAGAAAGUCAGAAAGUAAGUGUAGUUGAUUCUUAAAGUUACUUGAUCUAAAUAAUAGCUGUGGGGAAUCUUUGCUUAGAUAAAUCUAUGAACACCCAUAUUUUGAUUAUAUUUUCUGCUCCUUGGAUCUUAUGUUUGAAGGCUAGGUACUUCAUUCACUUGCUCAGGUUUAGUUCAAGAUCUUUGUUCAACUCUGCUGGAGAAGUUUAUAGUCGGUUGACUUGCUCGAGGACGAGCAAGAGCUAAGCAUGGGGGGAUUGUUGACGCUCGUUAUUGACACACUUUUAGUGCUAUUUAACUAGUAUUUUCAUGCUUAAUCUUAUACUAACCCGCCACUUGGCACCUGAAAUAAUUCCAUUAUUGCGAAGCCAUUAUCUCUUGAUAUAUACUGCGAAGACAUUAUAUCCUGGUGAUUUUCAUUUGAGGGUGUUUUAGAGAGCAUUUUGGGGGUGGCUAUAGAUAAUCAACGUGAUAUUUAUCUCUUGAUAAUCAAAUUAUUUUGUGGUUUUCAUUCGAGGGUGGUUUAGAAAGCACCAAAUUGAUCUUUCACCGAAUAAAUUAUUACUGUUGUCAUGUUGGAGAUUGAAAAAUACGGAUUCCUUUCAUUGGCUCUGGAUAACCAUUUGUUCUGUCCAUUUUGCUCACUUCUAAGGCCCCAUUUGGUAGAGCUUCGGUGUGGCGGAUCCACUUCGGAUUAGCUUGAUUAAACAUGAUUAAGUCGCCUAAUAUGCGAGACUCAUGCCUUAGUCAAGUUAACAUGAAGUGCCGUCGGAUUUCAUCCGAUUUAACCACUCGAACAGGACCAAAUUAGCAAACUCACACGAAGGUGAGCGGUUCCAGAGAAUACAACAAGUCCACUGAGUUAACAAAUUAACCAUUUAGUUGGGCCAUAAAACACCAUCAGAGUUUACAAGGUUUGAAAUAAAACCACAGAAGAUAAAACAACAAGCGGAAGCUACUUCGUCGGGGUCGGACAUCCCUGGUGAGGCCAACCGGGACAUCAGUGAUCCCGCUCCUCGCCGUCCGAGGAGGGAUCCCACUCGACCGUCCAACCCGGAGGGAGUUGGGGCGGCCAAGUGCCAGCGGAAAGGGGCUCAGAAGCAGCAACUUCACCUGAAAAAGAAGAGCCACAACAAGGCUGAGCUACUAAGCUCAACAAGACUUAACCGACCGGGAGUAGACUACUCUACCACUUCUAGACAUGCAAGGCUCUUUGGCUGAGGGGGUUUGCUUGCCAAAAGCAACUACAGUGGGUCCUUGCUUUGAAGUUUUAGCUCAGGUUCCAAGUUCAUUAACCAGUCUAAGUUUGCAACCUACUUCGAAUCAAACAUAGAACCAACCAAAGGUAUAUACAUCAUCAUCAAGACCAUGUCAUUAUCAGAUUCCUUUACUUACUCAGGGUGACAUAGCGAUCAAGUAGUCUCAAACUGUGAGAGGCAGACGAAUCGAUUCGAGUUUCUUAACCAUGCAUGGCGAACCUAAUCUCACGACAUCCGCGUACCACAAGGGCCGCUUCCUGUGUCGGCCGUCCCCAUUAAUUCCCAUGCGCAUGUCAGGUCCAAACUUCCCUUGGCAUGCAAUGCUCCAUAGUCCCGGUCUCUAUCGUACUGUGACCGCACUUGCACCCACAUGAUGCACCAUGGGAACCUCGUUCCAGGGACAGCAGGGGUAUAAGCCACGCCCUAGUUCAAUUAGGUACUAGGCUUCCCCAUCCCAUACUAGGUAUGAGAUUAGUACUUUCAAACACUUGAUCACGAACACCACCACUGUCGGGCCUUAGCAAGUUUCAUAGACAGACGGGGCGAUCAGCCGACCACCAAAAAGUUACCCAAAACCCUGCCCCGUCCAUCGUCCUUAUAGUUGUAACAGAAGGGUAAACAUCCAACUCCUACAACUCGCGAGUGAUAGGGAAUCACUCGGCUUUUAUCGUUUCCUAUUUAAGCAAGCAUCUACUCGGUCCAACAGCUAGUGUUCAGAUCAAUGGAGCUAAGUUAUGCAUCUAUGGUUCCAAACAACUCCUAUACGAAAAUGCACAAACAUGUUAAAGAAGGCAUGCGCAAGUUUGGGAAACACAGGGGUUUCAUGCAUCCGGGGCUUGCCUUCAAGCGAGAAGGAAGGAAGCUGUUCUUCUGCUUGGGCGGCUUCGGCUUCUGGGGGCAGGAGCUCAGCUACACCGUCAUCUUCUGGCGCCGGGUGCAGCUCAUAGUAGCCGUCGGCGAGACGCAGCUCUACACGAAUGCAAUGCAUUAGUUAGCGUUUAGACGGUUAUUUCAAUAGCAACACUUGCAAGCCUGAGCCCAGAAACUUGCGACAAGUUACAGGAGGGUGGGGAGGUUCAAAGGAGUCGAUGGAGAUCAAGGUAUAAGGGUCAGGUGGGGAGGAACUUAUGAUCUGACCCUUAGACUAGAGGAAUAGAUGUGUUGGGGGGUCCUCAGACUUGACGCUGAGAGUCCCCGAGUUUUACACAUAUACCCUCGGUUCAAGGAAAAAGAUACAGCCGAGCCCUCGGGCGAGGCGGAGAAGGGUCAGCGGAACAGACAGGGGUCGGGCGGUCAGCAGGGGUCGGACGAACAGAAGGGGUUGGACGAACAAAAGGGGUCGAACGAGGCGGAAAAGGGUUGGACGAACAGAAGGGGUCGGACGAGGCGGACAAGGGUCGGACGAACAGAGGGGUCGGACGAGGCGGACAAGGGUCGGACGAACAGAAGGGGUCAGACGAGGCGGACAAUGGUCAGCAGCUUACCUUCGUUUCACAGGUGAAGUUUGGGGUCAGGAAAGGAGCAGACUUGAGCGGAAGGACUGAAGCACUAAGACUUGGGAGGGGGCGAUGUCCGGCGGUGCUCCGGCGGCGGCGGUGCUUCUUGUGGACAACAAGCAAGCUUUAGCACAGCACGGAGGGGCAAGCGGCUGGGUGGAUUGGGAAGGGCGGCCGGGGAGCGGAGAGGAGAGUUCCGCAGGAACUUAGGCGGUAGCGCUUUGAGCACGAAGCAGAGGAACGGCGGUAGAGCGGUGAUGGCGAAGGGGACUCCGGUGGGACUCUGGCAUUCCCUUUUAUAGCUGCGCAGCAGAGAGAAAGGGUUGGAGCAGCGCGAAGACCGGGAAGAACGAUGGAGUGCGCUGCUGGGGCGGUGAUUGAGCAACGAGAGCGGUGGAGCAGGACUUCGGGGAUGACACCGGCGGCCACUGGGCACCGAUGACAGGGCGGAGCAGGCGUGGUUUUGCCGGUGGUUGAGAUUUGGCGGAGGCGGGCGUCGUCGUGCGGUGGAUCUGAUGGAAGUGACCGGGGGGAACGGCGCUAGAAGCGAGGUUGCUCAGGUGAGAGGUCAGGCGGGCCGUUGCUGCACGGGCGAGCGCGAAGCAACACUCCGUCGGAGCGCAGCGCUGACAAGGAAGGAAAGGAGUUGUCGCGGCCAGGGCCGGGGUUGGCGGAGGAGGAAUCGUCGCGUAGCGCGGACCUGGGCGGCGCGACUGUGGAAGGGCUACGGAAAAGACGGGAGACCUCGGGCCUUGCAGCCGGGAUCUGGCGAUGUGAUGAUGGGCGCGGGCGGCGAGAUGCUGCAGAAAGGGUAGCAGGGGAGCUUCCGCCGCGAUUGGGGAAGGGGGCGCGAGAAUCCAUCCGGUCGCGGGCCGAAGACGAGGCGGAGCGGCGGGCGUCGGAAGAGUUGAGCCACGCGGCUGGGGAAAACUGAAGCGGGCAUGCAACUCGAGUGCGCCUGUCGCGGAAGAUCUGGGGAAAAAAGAUCUAGUGGGCUCACCGGUCAGUCUCGGUGGUCCACUGCUCGAACUGAGGGGCGAUGCUGCGGGAUGGCUUAGGAAGAUCCGACGGUGGGUUGGGGGUCGGCGGGGUCGGAAUUGGGGAGACCACGGCGAGGGGUCGGAUCGCAGGGGUCGAAAGAGCUGGAGGUUGAACACUUAGGCUUGGAAAAACUAAGACAGGUGAUCAGGGGCUCGGAUUAAGAUUGACGCGAAGGAUUUUUGUCCGAGGCCGUCACAUUCGGCUUCUCAUAAAAUGGCUUCGGCUUCGGCUUCUUCGGUGGAGUGGCUUUUUUAGUGAAGCCGGUGAAGCCACUUUUUUCGACUUCUCCUCUCUAGUGUAAGCCGUUUUGCGGCUUCUCCCCGGCUUUGAUGGUGAAGCCGUUUUGAAAUUGACCUUUUGGUAGGGCUUCACCAAAAGCCGGUGGAGAAGCACUUUGAGAAGCCCUACCAAACGGGACCUAAUUUUGUAUAUUAAUAUCAUGGAAAUAGUGGGUCAAGUGCUGUCAAGUAUGAACCUGUUUAAAUCGUUAGCAAUUUUGAUUAUGGCAUGGGCCUGAGUUUGUAGAACUUCCUGACUCUAGUCUAGCUCAAAGUUUUUGGUCAUGUUUAACUUGGGAUUUUGUACUGUUUGGCUGGCCAUGUUAGCUUAUUACUUCACCUGGGAGUGCGUUAUUGGUGUGUUACUGUAUCUGAGUGCUACAUGCAGAUCUCUGUCUAGUGUGAUUUCUUUAUCUCAUAUCUUUGUAUUAUAGCCCUACCAUCUUAAUUGUACUGUAUCUUUAUGCUACAUGACAUGUUGUUUGCAAGGCUAAUUUCCCAUCAUUAUUCUUGUGCAGCCAAGCUGGCGCAGGCCAAAGGGUAUUGACUCCCGUGUCAGGAGGAAGUUCAAGGGAUGCACCUUGAUGCCGUACAGCUCUGACAAGUCGACCAGGCACUACCUCCCCAACAAAUUCAUCAAGAAGUUUGUGGUGCACAAUGUUGUUGGGAUACGAGGUAGGCUACACUAGCGCAAAUCACAAAUUUCUACCGCGUAAAUCAGGAAAACUGCUGUAUAAGGAUCACGGGAUUACCACUUGACGUACUACUGGUGCGGAAGAUAUAGAUUCGCGUCGAUGCAGCAAAGUCGAUCAGCGUAGUCAUACGUAGUUGAUCACGUCGACGUCCAGCAGCUCCUCAGUAGCUCGUCCACGUGCAGCAAGAUCGCCCUCGUGCCGUGGCUCGUCGUCAACUCGUCGUGGCUCGUCGGCGGCUCGUCGUGGCUCGUCGGCGGCUCGUCCAAGUGCUGCAGGCGCAACACCUCCAAGGUAUCCACACGUGCAGGGAGGAAGCGUCGUAAUCCGGACUGCUAGAUCCGUGAGUUGCAACAGGCGAGGGCGUGGGAGGCGCGGCAGAUGUGUUUCGCCAAAAAGGUGUAAACCCUAGGGCGCCCCCACCCCUCUAUUUAUAGAGGUUCCUAACGGGCCUCUGGGUCCGAGGCCCAUUAGUACUUCUAAACCUAAUCAAACUCGGAUCACAUCCGAAUUGGGCUUCCAGCCCCUUAAGUGUGUGACCCUAUGGGUUCGGAUACGUAUAGACAUGGCCCGAGUACUCCUACUCAGCCCAAUAGUCGGUAGCGACCUCUAGCAAGACGUGCCAAUUCCUAUACGCACACGAAGAUCAUAUCAGAUGAACCAUCACAACAUUAUAUACAUGCUAUUUCCUUUGCCUCACGAUAUUUGGUCUAGCUUCAAGCCGACCGCUCUUUCUCAAUCCUAUGAUUCGGAAUCCCUUUGUAGGUUAACUCUUAACCAUACGUAGCAUGGCCAUGCAUUUUCGGAUCCGAUCACUCGAGGGGCCCAGAGAUAUCACUCUCAAUCAGAGAGGGGCAAAUCUCAUCUUGAUUGACCAUGUCUCAUAGCAUGCUUCUUGACAAACCCGAAAGCUACCUUUAUAACUACCCUGUUACGGCAUAGCGUUUGAUAGCCCCUAAGUAGGUCAAUCCACAUCUUGAAUACAUGCGACAAUCUCAGGUCUAAGGACAAAACGUAUAUGUUGUUUGAAGAGAGAACUACUUCUCAGUUGGGUCAGUCCUAGCACAUGUCUUCACAUGUGUCCACAUUAUUAGUUCAACAUCUCCAUGUCCAUGACUUGUGAAACAUAGUCAUCAACUAAUACAUGUGCUAGUCUAAUAUUCAUGUGUGUCCUCAUAUGAACUCCGACUAGGAACAACUUCAGAAUAACCAUACAAGUAAAGAGUUUCACACACAAUUCACAUAAUUGCAAAUCAAUUCAAGUAACCUUUAAUGGAUAUUUAAGGAACAUAAUAUAUAAAUCAUGGAUACAAAUGGAAUAUCAUCAUCUCUAUGAUUGCCUCUAGGGUAUACCUCCAACAAAUGUCUCUGAGCUGGAGUUGCUCAUGAUGCACAACAGGUAUGAAUUUACCAAAGCUGACUGUAGAAGUUAACAUGUUCUCAUUCUGACCUGUUUUCCUGUGUGAUCAAAACCUGUUUGUAGUAACUUUUACUGAUGCAAUGCCCUUCCCUUGCUCACAUACAGGACCUACUGUGCUGAGAUUGCCCACAAUGUCUCAACAAAGAAGCGCAAGGAGAUUGUUGAGCGUGCUGCUCAGCUUGACAUCGUGGUCACCAACAAGCUCGCCAGGCUCCGCAGCCAGGAGGACGAGUAGGCUGCUUGCUCGUCAGGACGACUGUUGCUUGUCUUUCUCAGCUUUAGGAAACUACUCUGCUUUGUGUCGGUGUUACUACCGAGGAUACCUGUUAUGCCAACCCUUCUGCCUAUCAGGAGCGACUCUAGUGUGGGAAAUUCUACUGUUACCGUACCCCCAUCUGAAUUAUCUGCAUGUUAUUGGGAACUUAUCUUCCGCAUAGUUGCUGUGGAUAUACCUGUGAUGAUUCACAGUUUACGCGUUGAAUAUGCGAUGCACAGUUCAGUUGUGUGCGUUAAGCAUGAGAGGAAUUGGUAUAGAUCCACAAGCACGUCGCGGCACCGUGCCGCACAGCGCGACCAGAUGUUAGUGGUUCGUUGGCUCAGCUUGAGCCUUAAUGCACUGUGUGGUUCGUUGGCUUAGGCUAGAGUGUUCGGAAACUAAGAUGGGUAGCCUAAGAGCAUGGACGUUUCUACAUGUCAGGGAUCUCAUAGAUCAUCCCAUGCAAUGUUACAUAGAAAUUUUGAUGAUGCAAAGGAGAGAGAGUGAGGAGAGAGAAAUAGGUCAUUAUUUCACGAAAUAACCGCCUCAUGAGCUAAAUUUUAGACUAUGAAACAACUCAACAACCAUUGUACAAAUUGUUAUUGUCGUGCAACUCAUAAUAUUUCUUUUUUCAUAUGCACAAAUUAAGAAAUUAUAUAGCUCUACUAGAGAACUUAAAAGACAACCCAUUAUACAGGUUGUCUGGUGAAUCAUCUCAAGAUUACGUCUCGAUGCAUGAGACCGCCUCUUAAAUGAUACCAAUAUACUUGCCCUAAGAGCAUCUCCUUCCUAAAACGGCUAAAACUGCCUAAAAGUCUGUCAUACGAGCUGUACGAAUUGCCCUCUUCUCUCACGCAAGAGAGGCCAACCAUCGCAUUUGGAAAUUUCCGCCUCGUGCUAUUGCCACGCCACCCACACUAACUCUCUCCGUCUUUGAGUGCCACCCCAGCCCGCCCCGACCAGAUCUCACCGCAUUGCCGUCUAGGAGUCGAAAAAUCACCACUUCACGUAUGAACUUCAAAUUAGAUGAAUUUUUUUAAAAAUCAGUUGAAAUUUUCUUUUAUGCAUAUGUAUCUCCCUAGUUUAUCGGGGUGGACCAAAAUUAGAAUUGCCAAAUUCGCUUGGGAGGAUUGAGUAGUCAAGCUCCAAAGUUUCUGCAUGCUUUGUAAACAACGAGCUUGAUUUCUAGAGAUCACAACUGGUUGAGCUGAAAGUUUUUGUCAUUGUCCAUUAUGUGCUCCUAAGGACAAAAAAUAUAAAAAAAUAUCUGAAAAAAGUGUUCCAGAAAUACAAUGACAAGUGAAAAAGAGAAAAAAAAGAAAAAUAGGGGCACAUACUGAUGUCGGCAUGGCAAGGCCGCCGGCUGGAGCACCUCUCUGAACACAGAUCCGAGCGCAUGGGAAUCUAUCAGGUUGGGCUGGAGAUCGAUUUGCCGGUCUACGGCGCACUCACGCACAGCCCACAAACCGCUGCACUCACGCAUGGCCCACAAGCCGCUGCUCCUCGCGCACUUGAUGGAGUGGGUAACGCUAACGCAUCCAGACCGUCCAAUCGGUGCCCGAUCGCCUCUCCAUCCCUUCUAGAUGAAAACGAUCGGGAACCGUUGGGAAAACAUAACCACUUUCGUUACUGUAUUUUUUAGUCAGGAACAGGAGCGGGAAUGGAAAAGUCGGACGUUAAAACGAAAUCUAUAUUACGAGAUAUUGGGAAAGAAACAUUUCGAUUGGGAGCACGUCGAUAAAGAUCGGGAACCGAUAACUCUAAUCGGCACGCCAACACAUGUAACCACUUCAAACAUUUAGUUCGACAUAAUAGUUACAACCAUGCAUAUGGUAUAUGCAAACGAUACAUAAGCAAGGGGUGUUUGGAUACUAGGUACUAAACUUUAGCAGUGUCACAACAGAUAUUCGGAUGCUAAUUAGGAGGACUAAACAUGAGCUAAUUAUACAACUAAUUGCAGAACUUGUCCUAAUUCGCGAGACGAAUCUAUUAAGCCUAAUUAAUCCAUCAUCAGCAAAUGGUUACUAUAGCACCACAUUGUCAAAUCAUGGACUAAUUAGACUUAAUUGAUUCGUCUCGUGAAUUAGACUCCAUCUGUGUAAUUAGUUUUGUAAUUAGCCUAUAUUUAAUACUCCUAAUUAGCAUUCAAACAUCCGAUGUGACAGGUGCUAAACUUUAGCCGUGAGUAUCCAAACGGGCCUAAGGGGGUGUUUGGUUCCACGGACUAAAGUUCAGUCCCUAUCACAUCGAAUGUUUAGAUGCUAAUUAGGAGUAUUAAACAUAGAAUAAUUACAAAACCAAUUGCACAGAUGGAGGCUAAUUCGCGAGAUGAAUCUAGCCUAAUUAAUUCAUGAUUAGCACAUAUUUACUAUAGCAUCACAUUGUCAAAUCAUAGAGUAAUUAGGCUUAAUAAAUUCGUCUCGCGAAUUAGCAUCCAUAUGUGCAAUUGAUUUUAUAAUUAGCUCAUAUUUUGUCCUCCUAAUUAGUAUCUAAAUAUUCGAUGUGACAUUGAUUAAACUUUAGUCCGUGGAACCCACCACCCCAAUAAGUCUGUUAGCUGUUAGAUUAGCAAUGUGAGAAAAAACAACUGACGGUGCUGGCGCUGCUCCUAUACUAUGGGCCUACUCACGUUCUUUAUUUUCCCAUAUAGCCCGCUUACGAGAGAGAUAAGGCAAAUCUCCAUCUGUUCUCUAGGCACAAACACAGCAGCCUUAUCCUCUCCAUUGCUGCACAGGUGGGUAGCUGUAGCUGCGGGCGUGCGGGCAUACUAGAGAAGUGGCGAGAUGGGGCAGCCGCUGAGAAGGUGCGUCGGCCAGAGGGAGGAGGUGCGGUGUGUUGGUGAGAUGCAGCGGAGGGACAGGGGCCAUGCGGUGACCGGCGAUGGGAGCUCAGCGGCGCAAGACCUGCUCUCUCGUAGCGAGCCUGAGCGGCAUCGGGCGAGCACCAGAUGAAGUGCUUGGACGGCGUGGUCAACCUUUAGCAAGCUGGUGCGAGCAGCGGAUGGGGAUCCUUCUGCAGCUAGUCUGAGGAGCAAGGAGAUUGGGCGUGGGAGGCGGGAGUCAGUCGCAGAGGUUAGUCGGGAAAAAUCCGGUGAAAAAACUGGAAAUUCCCGAUAAAAAACGGAAACCGACAAUUUGGUGGGGGAAAACCUUCCAACCGAUUCCGAUCCCGAUUUCGUCAGAUUUUCUCGGAUUUUUUUCCUAUUUCGAAUUUUCCUGUAAAUACGGUAUUCGAUCGGUAUACACGGGAUGCGGUAUCGGUCGGUACGGGUAGGUUUCUACUUUCAUCCUAAUCCCUUCUGCGCUGGUCCGGUUAGGUUUCUCAAUCCUCGCAGAACGCAGAUUCCUCUUUGCCCCAGCGUCGCCUCUUGCGCUUCCCGAUCUAAUCCCCUUCCUCGCCAGUCGCCGCCGGCGCACCGCCCGCCCCCUCCUUCCUUCCCUCGCCCGCCGCCCACCCCCAACUCUAACCCCAAUCCCCAUGGAGGGUGGCGCAAGCGCAAGCCAUCCACCGGGUGAAGUGAGUGGCGGAAGCCAUCCUCCUGGUGAAGUGCUGUUGUCUCGCUCCGUCCAGUUCAAGGAUGAGAUGGUAGAGUUCAUCGAAGAACAAGGACUCCCGUCGCUGGAGAGCAUCAUGGAUGCAGCUCUCGAGGGCAUCCCGUCGUCGAAGAGGCAGACCGUGAUGCAGCGUGAGAUACUGCAUUAUCGGGAAACGGUGGAGAAGCAGGCAGAGGAUGCCCUUCGCGAGCGCAAACUCUGCUGUCCCAGUGCCACGAAGAAGGUCCCGGUGGUCUUCACCGGCGGCGAUGAUCCUGUCUUCUACGGUCAGGCGCUGCAGGGCAUUGAACCCCAUUUCAUCCAGGUUGCCCACCCCAACGAGGUGACCGCCCUGGCUCUUCGGGUGUCAUGGCCACGUUACUCUUCCUUCUACAGCUUCCCGCCUGGUGCCUUCAUCUCGAGCGCCGACCGAAACAUGCUCGUCCUAUAUGUUGGUCCUUACCGCCCCUGCCUCAGUCUACGGGGGUUUUAUCUCGCGUACGAUGUCUGGGCAAACUCAAUCGCCGUGAUCCCACAGCUGCCAUCCGGAUCCGUGUCCAUGUUCACCCACGUUGGCAUUGGGACUGGGGUCGCUAUCCAGAGCCGCGGCGAUCAGCCCGGAGAGUUCAUCCUCGCUGAGCUCCUGCUCAAAAAACAACGAGGCCGCCCCUCAAGCAAAGGCACCCUUUUCAAGUGGUUCUCAUCCGGCCCUGCCGCCGGUCAGUGGAUUCAGACUGAGGUGGUCCUCCCUCUGCCUACUAAGCCUGAAGAGCACGCGUCACGUUCCUCCUGUACCUUCUGCUCCGAUAUUGUCUCUGUGUUCGGAACAGCUGGGCUAUGCUGGGUUGACUUACUUCAGGGGAUAUUGAUAUGCAAUGAUGUGAGCUCUGCCCAUCCCCAGUUCCGUUUCGUUGGAUUGCCCAGAAAGCCUACCAUCAAACCUGGCAUUGAGGGCCGGGGGAUGCCGGCAGCACAUAGCUCCAUUUGCUAUGUCGAAGACACCCUCAGAUUCAUCACCAUUGACAACUAUGGCCACAGGGACCCCUUCUGUGCGACCCUCUCCAUCUGGGCCCUCCAGGACAUCCAGAUACCGGAGUGGGUGUUGUUUUACUCAUUUUCCUUUGGAAAUAUCCAGCUUGACCCAUUCUACAGAAGGAUGAUGCCCACUUUCCCUGUCCUUAGCAUGGCAAACGAACAUGUUAUCUAUGUUACUGUUGCUGCUGAUCUUACAUCGGUUCCAGGGAAGCUGGAAGAGUGUGUGCGGCAUGUGCUCUGCAUUGACAUGAUGCAUGGCUGUGUCGUGAGUGUUUCCAACCUCCCUCCAGGAAGUGGGCUUACUCCUCCCAACUUCCUAGCAUGUAUCUUCGGCAGCUGCCUUCACAAGGUAACUCUUAUUGACAUCUUAUCUUUUUUAUUGCGAAUGGAUAGUAACUAAUUGGUCACUACGAUUGUUCGCAUCUGAUUUAUUAGUGUCUCACUGACAUCUCAUCUUUUUACAUGUAGAGUCCUUGCAAUGAAAACCAAGAGUGUGAAGAAAAAAUAAGCAUGACGGAAGUUGAUGCUGUGCGCCUCAAACAACGUUCUUUCAGAUCAUUUGAGCCUCUGCAUGGGCAAUCUGCCACAGGUAGCAGGAACUUGAGAGGUUUGGCUUCCUUAGUGGAUGACUGUGCCUUCAGCGAGUGAGGAAGGAAAUCUUCUCCGUAAUUGCUACUAUCUGUUUGCAAACUUGCAAUACAGAAACUUUAGUACAAAUACUGUUGACUUGACCUCAAGAUGCACUUCUUUUUUGUCUGGUUUCUUUCUGGUGUUCCAGAUUCUGGUGUUUCCACUUAUGCCUGAAGUUUUAAGUUCUUUCUCAUCAGUUCCGUGGUCAGCAUCCUGAUCACAUAUGCAUCGAGAUAAUUUCCAGAAUGGCAUGUUGUUUGUAGCUCUUUGAUCAGUAUGCUGAGCACCUAGGUUCAUCGACACCCGUUCCCAUGUUUUCUGUUAAAAAUAGCAAACCAUUGGCAUCCAUUGUUGUCUUAUACAGCACAGUUUCUGAAUGGACACAAUGGCCACAUGCCAUUUCUGGAAACCAACAGAAAUGGUCAGGCAGAAUACAUUAGGUAGAAGACAACCUGAUGCUGUUGCUAAAUAUUAUAUCAGAGAAUUGUCACUUUUGUUCAUUCACGUAAAAUUAGAGAGUGAUGGAUCAAGGCAUAUAUAUAAUCAUGCCCUUACAUUAGCGCUAUAUACAACAAAUAAUUUACAUUUUUUGUCUGAACCUCAAGCAUCAUACCCUCCUAGCAGGAUCAAAAGGGGAAAGAAAAGCUGCCUGAUCAUGCUUACAACUGCUUUGCAUCCAGUUUCGUCAAAAGGGUGUUAAAUUGCUAUGUCAACGAGCAUGUUUCGUCUUGCUCGGUUGCUCUUACUUCCUAGUCAUCUGCAGAAAACAAUCUCCGAGCGACAUGCGGUCUCUUCCUCUUCUUCAGAGUGUCAUCUCCAGAGCAGCGAUCAGCCAAGUUCUCCUUCAUUGCUUCUUCUUUUGCAAACUCGUCUUCUUUCAGGUGCUCAGAAUCAGAACCCAGCUUAGAACGACCAGGAUAAGAUUGUGUGUUCUUUUAUUCGCCUCCACAAUAGCUACUUCUGUGAGGCAUUAGUUCCUCCUCUGGCUUCACCAUGUGUCAGUUGUCAAGAUUUGCGGAUCAAGACUUAGACUAGUAAAUUUCUUUUAUGCGCAUAAAGCUUUGAAUGGUGGCGUGGGAGACACGGGGUUAGACUGGUUCGGGCAAAGGAGGCCCUACGUCCAGUAUCGAGGCUGCUCGUGUUACCCACGCGGGGUUCUGUAGUAGGGGUUACAGAUGGGCAAGAGAGGGAACUGAUCCCAGGUCUCUUGUGUGUGCUAGUGCUCUAAGGGACUGUGAGAAUGUGCUGUUGGCUUGAGGAAAAGAGUCUCUUCCGUCCCGUGACCCCCGGUCCUCCUUUUAUAGCACAAGAAGGAGCCUGGGGUUACAGUUGAGACCGGCCUUAGGAGAGGAAACAGAAAGGAUAAGCCAGAAAGAAAAAUAGUACAAGGGAGGGCCCCGAGGCCGCCGCUCCCGCUUCGGCCCCCGGUCUCUGCCAGCGCGCCCGACGAGGGAAGGCGAUCUCCUCUUGAUCUUGUCGAUGAUCUCCCUGGUCGCCGUCGCCGUCGAGAGUGAUGAUGAGCCUCAACCUCGGCAUCCGUGCCCGCCGGGGAGGAGGUCUGACUCUGUUGCCCCGCCGGUUACCGUAAGACCCGAACGUCGCGUCCCUGACGCUACCAUUAGGAGCACAGGGCGCGAGGGCAAGCGAUGCGCCCUCCGGUGUCGUUCGGCGUGGCUCAUGAGUACCCUGUGGCGAAUCAGAAGGAGCCGCGGCCACUGCAACCCGCGCCGCACGGCCGUGCUCCGGUAUUCGUGACCGGUUACGUUGGGGACGCCGCUCCCUUGUGGCUUGACAGGGCCGCGGCGCAUUUAUGGCGAGGUUGAUAGGGGGACCCACGAGAUCGUUAUCCUUAUCCUCCGGUCCGCGCCCGAGGGGAAUAUCCGUCUCGUGGACCCGAGUGAGUCCAACCCCCGCGUCCAGGGUCGGACGAGGCGGAGUUUCUGUGAUGGGGGUCGGGAGCUCCCGACCCCGGUUCCCCGGGUCGGACGAGGCAGAGCCUUGCGGCGAGGGGCCGGGCGCUCCCGACCCUGGGUCCGCGGUCGGACGAGACGGAACCUUGCGGCGAGGGGUCGGGCGCUCCCGACCCUGGGACCGCGGUCGGGCGAGGCGGAGCCCCAUCAUCGAGGGGUCGGGAUUGUCCGACCCCGGGGCCCUGGGUCAGGUGAGACGGAGUGGGAUGUUCUCUGCUUCCACUGGGCCGGAUGUGAUCAUAAUUACCGCGGGUGGGCCUGGGCCUUCGUGACUGUCGCUUUUAGUGGUUUUGGGAGGUCGUUAAUAUUUCCCCCAACACAUGUGUUUCUUUAUCUGUGAGUGUGUAGAACAUGGCAAUACAUCAACAGCAUUCGAUGGAAUAAAAAAUACAGGAAGCCGAAUUAAAUGGAUGGGAGAUAACGGAUGACUAGUAUUACACAAACAUUUCAGUGAGAGCUGUUGAUAUAAUCCUUUUCUAACCAUGCAAAUCCUCGCUCAGUUUAGAACCAAACAAGGUAUAACACAAGCAGUCAUUUGGAAGCAUUUCGUUCGAGCAUUACAGUACACGGCAUCCACAUCAAUUUCGUGAUCUUGCUUCGCCAGCUGGCCACCUUCCGCUGGCUCUGUUGCAUUUCCCCCCGAGCAAUUUGAAAUGUCAUGUUGGAUCUAGUUCAGAGGAUUACACUUCCUCUGGCCGUCCGAUCAUUAAUCCAACAAAAAGAGAUAUAUCUUGCAGUUAGAUAUACGGUUUAGGAUCAUUUUAGAGUACCGUAGUAAAAUUUAAAAAAAGAAGAACAUAGAGCUUUUUUAAAUAAAAGAAAAGAAAAGAAAUGUAAAAGCUUUACCCGGAGAAAAAUCUGUGUGAGCUGCUGCAGUUCCAGUUCCAGUUGCAAUUACCAAGCAGCUCACCGAGCCAGAUCCAGCUAACUUGUGUGUGAUUGUGUCCCGAUCGGCCGGUUUAAAUGCUAGCAGUCUAGCAAUUACUUGUGUGAUUUGUGAUUGUGACUUGUGAGGGUAGGUAGAUUAGUUCAAUCCAGGUUUAAGCGCUAGCAGUCUAGCACAUCACGAAAAGGGGUAGUAAAUGGAAUGAGAGUUGCACAUCGCAACAUGGCGGUGCCCGUAUUCAGUUCUUUAGUACAAACUGAAAAUGGAUUAAUCGGAACGGAACUGUUUUCGUCUUCGUCCUGCCUCCACCCCCAGGAAUAUAUCCUAUGCAAAAUGCUAUGCAAAAUGCUUCAAGCGAGCCGUUGUACACUUGGGUCAUGUUUAGUUCCCUCCAAACUCCCAACUUUAACACUAUGUAAAAAGAAGAUUCCCCAUCACAUCAAACUUGCGGUACAUGAAUGGAGUACUAAAUGUAGACGAAAUAAAAAACUAAUUGCAUAGUUUUGUUGUACUUUGCAGGAUGAAUCUUUUGAGCCUAAUUAGUUAAUAUUUGGACAAUAACUUACAAAUACAAACGAAACGCUACAGUUGCGCAUUUAUGGUAAAAUGCCAAUUUUACCGCUCCCAAAUUGAGAACUAAACAAGACCUUGUACUCGAUCGGCGGGCCUUUACGUUGUACACUUGUGCCUCAACAUGCUCUCGUCUCGCACCCCAUGCUCUCCCUCCCUGCUCCAUGUGGGCCCUCGGGGGAAAUAGAUGGACAGCUGAGUGCCUGAGUGGACGUGUGCUUCUCGUUACCUCUAUGUCACAUAAGAUGCACACAUUUUAGCACACUAAAAUUACUUAAAAUUAUUCCAUAACGGUGAUGCACAUAUAUGAAAGAUCACGUUAGACUACCUGAAAAAAAAACA